rnacentral:lncRNA from 1 species
UUUUUUUUUUUUUUUUUUUGGUGUAUAAGUGAGAGGAUUUGAAGGAGAAGGGUUGGAUAGGAUGAUAAGAUGGGAAGGAUUUUUGUGCUUUCAGUUGCACCAUUGUUAUUCAAACUAAUUCCAAAAAAUAUAUAUAUAAGGUACAAGAAACGAAGGAGAGCUACAAAAAAGAAUGAAAAAACAAAAUGUACACCAAGUGACAAAAGAACUUGGGCUAUUCUCUUGAAGUAAAAUUUUUCCAAGAAUUAAAAAAAAAAAAAAAAAAAAACACAAAGGCUACUCGUCACAUGUUGUUUCUUCUUCUAGUCAAACUAGUAGUUAAGUGAAAUAUUAAAGAGAUGAAAUGUGUUCAUAAAUCAAAUAUGCAAUUGUCUAGUAUAAUUGAUGCAAUCGUUCAAUUAGCAUGUUCUAGCUAGAGCAGCAACUUCACUGUAAAAGAAAUGUAUUCACAAUAUAUUGAAAAUAUUGAGUAUCUUCUAGACUCUAUGGCAUCGCAAAGAGUUUUGUACAAAUUCCAUGAAAAUGUAUGAUAUGUUGCCUCCAUUAAUCCCUUUUUUUUUUUUUCCUAAGGGGAGAUUUAAAGCCUUGUAAGGAGUAUCUUCUAGACUCUAUGGCUUCAAAAUAGGAUGUCACGGUCAUCUAACUAAUUCUCCCUUAAUAAUUUUAGAUGUUUAUGUAAGUAAAAGUAAUGAGGAAAAAAAAAGAUUUGUUUGAGGAAACACCAGAAAAAAAAAAAAGUAUAUUUGCUUAACGAAAUAAGACUGACACUGUGAAAUAUCUAAGACAAAGAACAGAUACUUGACAAGAAAAAAAAAAUAAUGAAAAAAGAAAAUAGAUGAGAAACUUUUAGUCCUUGUCUAACCCAACCUGAGAAACAGACGCAGUUGAUGAUGGGCCAUGUCCAAAAUUUCCACGCGAAGCCGAAAUGCUAAAUCCAAGUUCUCUGAAGAUGAACAGAGUUGUUAUUUUUUUGUGCACUUUGCUAUUGGCUUUUAAAUUUUGUCAACGAAUACUUUGAAAAACAAAAUUAAAUUGCUUAAACAAAUGCAUUUUUGCAGGCUUGCACGUCUUGAUCUUGUUUCUGCUUCUCGUUAGAUAGUUUACCUGUCAAGAAUAAAGAGAAACUCCACAUUCCCUGAGCUAGCAUCCAAAUAAGUUGUAUAAUUUUUCCAUUCAAAGGUAAAGGAUAUUUGUUUGGUUGAGAUAGUUUAGGUUAGAUUCCUUAAUCAUAUCUAAUAAUCGUGCAGCAAGCUUGUGCAUUUUGAACCAUACAACAUGAAGUUGGUCCAUUGUAUGCAUGAAAUUUAUUAUCGAAUUUUUCAGCAGUGAAUUUGUUGUACUUUAGGGAAAAAAUUAAAAUAAAAAGUUCCCAAUUAACAAAUACAAUUCAACUUUUUGCAUACAGUUUUUUCCCUUUUUUUUUUUUUUCAAAUGAGAGGUUUUGAAUCGAGGACCACCUAUUUAUAAUUUCUCCCACCUUACUAUCCAAAUCAACCCUUUCCGGAAAACUGACACCUUUCCUUAUGAGUAGAAGGAAAAUAAUACCCAAGAAAAUGCAUUGAAAAUCUCGGAUUUCAUUGAUUAACACACAAGUGUUCUUCAAGAAAUUAUUCGACAUAAUGGAAUAAUGGACCUCAACUAUGUCUGAUAUUAUGAACGUUAUAAACGCUAAAAAAUCCAGAGUCAUCACCACAACUGAGUACAUCUUGCAGAAGCAGUGGUUCAAAUUAACUUGCCAUCUUCUUUUACAUCAACCUGUCAACUUCUCCAUUCUUGUUAUCAGUUGAGUGUCUGCCAGCUAAAAUCAAUAGACAAAAUGACCAGGAUACGUAUGCUGCACGCCUUCUAAUAUGUGGUACUAUUACUUUACUUCCACAGCAUUCAACAGUAUUCAAGAAAUACAUGCGCUUUCUGAUAUGUAUAUCGGAUUUCACGUAAUGAGAAUUUUAAUCAACUUAUUUAUCAUAAUCUCAAGGGUCAUUAUCUUAUGUUUCAAAUUGAAAGAGAGAUUUGUCCGGCAGGUCAUUAGCUACUGCUCGGAUCACCUAACACCCCGACUUCAAUUAUUCCUUACUUGCUGCAAAAAGAGAAAACCAAGUAAGGAGAUGGAGUAGUUAGUUUGAUAUCAAGUAAUCCUUUUUUUUUUUUUUUAAUUCACUUGGGACUUGGCAGACGACGCCAAUUUUAGAUUUGGGGUUAACAAAGAAAUUGAUUAGGACGUCAUUUAAAAAGAAAAAUACGCAUAGCCCCUCUCUCCCUGCAACAAAUAAUGAUAGUAUUUAACUGAAUGAUGAUUAAAAGCUGUUGGAGGUAUUUAUGGUAUGGAACACAAAUCAGUGCGAGGAAACUGGUCCUAGAAAGUUCAUGCAUUAAGGAAGAUCAUGAUGAAGUACAAUGCUUUCUUGCCACAUUCUGAGUCCGAUAUUCAGGCAACUACAGCCGCAACCACAAGGAUAAACAAGAAGAAAGGAAGCACUCUCAACUCUGGAAAAGAGACUGGGGCACCACCAUCUUCCUUGAGGUGGAAAAGUUGUGCUAAAGUAUCAGCACAUCUGAUGGUUGAUGGUUUUAUGCCUUUCUCCAUCAAACUGAAAAUUCUGGCACAUGCAUGUCUUGGCAUUCUCCAUACUAGCGAAUUUGGAUCAGGGCAACUGAACAAGUUGAUCAAUAUAUAUCCACGUGAUGUAUUUACUCCUCAAACAGAGACACUUCAGCAACGUGAGCAUGUCGUAAUAAGCUUGCCACUAGUGAAAACAUGGGUCUAUAUUUGAAAGAUAUGCUGGGCAGUCAACAAUUGCAUCAGAUGAUAUUUUAAUGAGGAUAAAACAUAAAGAUUUACAUACAAAAUUUCCUAAUGUUUGGGCUACCAAUCAUGCAGGAACAACUUAGAUAUGGCCACACAUAGGUGAAAGAAGUCGGGGGAAGAAAUCAAGAUUACCUGUGAGUGACAUCUAUCCGAAAAUGAUAGCCAAUCUAUGGACUAUUUUAAUCGUUUCCAAGCAUGCAUUUGGAUUUUGGUCAUAGUUCAACCAAUAGAACUUUUUCUCGUACGUUAAACAUAUCAAACAAUAUGAUUCUGUGACAUGAUUAAGGCAAUAUAAUAAACCUAGUAAAACCUUAAAAAUAUAUCUUGUUUUCCGUACUGUUUGGGCUGCUCAUGCGUUACCUACUAUUCUUUGGUUAUAAAUACACUUAGACUUCAGCAGAAGGCUUGUGUCUUAGUCUAAGUUAAUAUGACGAUUCUCGGUAUGAGAGCUUUCUUUCUGAUUUGCCUCUUUUCUCUUUUGGGAAUUCAAGCAAGACCUUUGCUAGGUAACUUUCACGUUUCAACUCCUAACUAUGCUUCCUCGUUAUCAGGGAUUUGAAUUUAAAAUCUAUUACUAAGCAGCCUGAAACAACAAUGGCAUACCAUUGUCUCUGUGCUGCUACUUCUUCCACUAUAUAAGUUGGAUUUAGUGAGGCGCAGACUCUAAAAUGUUCAAGUCAGUAUACUUCACACUCAUUCUUGCAGUGGAUUUUCUUAUUCAAUCUUAAUGUUUCAUGAUACUUGAUCUUGUGAUCUGGUGUCUUCACUGAUUUCAGUUCCUUUCAACACUUUCCACAUUUUCCUCUAAUUAAUAUGUGAACGAAUGCAUAACAAAUUUCAUUACUAGUUAUUUCUGCUCUAAUUUGUUAUGAUAUCUUUGGAGGCUUAAAUGCUUACCCUUCUGCCAAGUCAUUCUUUCCUUGUACGAAUUAAUGAUUGUUAUGCCAACUAUUUUCAGGUUCAAUCCAUUUAUCUCAAGAUUUAUUGAUAUAUUGUGCAUGGUACCAUGCAGUUCCUGGAAAGUACUAAUGGAUGGUUUAAAAUCUUUUGAUUUUGCACGUUACUAGCUUGAUUACCUAACGAUUUCCUUGCGCUGCAGAGCAUGGUUACACCUCUAUGGUCGAGUCAAAUGACGGAACUCCUGCUCCUAAGAGUGUAGACAAAGUCCUGUUGAGGAUGAUCAUAACUUACGAGCAAGCACCAGGCUUGCAUCUGGUUCAACCGUCCUUGGCAACCAGCUAUGGAAGGACUCUUUCACCUCCUCCUCCACCAAUGCCAGCAUCACCAACUCACUAUCAUGAAGCAAGCCAUGGAGUCGAGCAAACGCCAGGCUUACAUCUGGUUCAACCGUCCUUGGCAACCAGCUAUGGAAGGACUCUUUCACCUCCUCCUCCACCAAUGCCAGCAUCACCAACUCACUAUCAUGAAGCAAGCCAUGGAGUCGAGCCAACGCCAGGCUUACAUCUGGUUCAACCGUCCUUGGCAACCAGCUAUGGAAGGACUCUUUCACCUCCUCCUCCACCAAUGCCAGCAUCACCAACUCACUAUCAUGAAGCAAGCCAUGGAGUCGAGCAAACGCCAGGCUUACAUCUGGUUCAACCGUCCUUGGCAACCAGCUAUGGAAGGACUCCUUCACCUCCUCCUUCACCAAAGCCAGCAUCACCAACUCACUAUCAUGAAGCAAGACAUGGAGUCUAUGAAUCACCUCCAAAUCCCUUCCUAGCCUCAAGCUAAAGCUUGUUCUGACUGAUCAAAGGUGUGGACGGUGAAUAUGCAUGAAGAUCUUCUAGUCUAAGUUCUAGUAUUACUUGUAGUAGCCGCUUGAAGCAAUAAAGUCUUUUCUGCUGCUUGUGCUUUUCCCUUAUAAAUGUAACUUCCACUAUGUAGUUGGCAAAUAUGAAGUUGGUUUCUGUGGCUCUAAGGAUCCAUGCAUUCAUGAGUCUCAGCUUAGAAUUUUUGGUUAACAUUCGAUUUGCUAUUUUCCUUUUUCACCUUUUAUAUCCUUAUAAGGUCGUUGAAGCUCCAGACACGAUUCGGCUCUAAUGUCUUGAUUCUCGGCACAAUGAUCCGGUUCCAACGUUCUUGAGAGCAAAAGACAUAAACAGAUGUAAACAAAAAAGAGACUGUCUGAGAACACAGACGUUUUCUGGUAAAUCCUUGGGAACGUAAAGGAAUUAUGCGUUUGGAAGAUUUUUUAAAAAUAAGUACUCUAAUACUAUGUGUGAUAUAAUAUAUGUCGUACGCAAGAUUAAAAAAAAUGUUACUAAAAAGGUAGAACGUAAUUCAAAAAAAUAUGUUUGUGACAUAAACAAAAAAGAAAUUUCAAAUAAUAAUGUAUUCAAUCACAUUUUGUACUGCAUGCAUCUUUGAUAAUACGAAAGAAAAUGAAAAUGAAAUUUCGGAAAAACAAAAAGGAAGUAUGAAACUUAACCGAGAAAUACAUUAAUCUUUAGCAUCAUCAGGACAAUAAUUUUUUAACUUUUCUAAGUAACAAGUGAAGUCUUGAUUAAAGAAGAUUCAUUUACGAAAGGAUCGGAGUAGCAAAUUAUAGACCUAUGAUUAAUUGAAGUGAUAAAUUAGCUCCGGGGAGGAAUACGAAUGACCCCACUAGGUGAAGACCUACAUAAGAGCAGGGGGGGAAAAAAGAAAAAAGAAAACUCGUACUAAUAAAAAUGAUAUAAAGCUUGAUUUCCUAUUAAAUGUGCAUCAUCAUAGAGGACCUGUUGAAUAGGAAAAACAUACCGUAUUGAUGCCAAAAGUUUUAUAAUUAGUCAGCAUACACAGAACACUAAUUACCUUGGACUUUUUCUUUUACAUGAAAUAAUCCAAUUGUACUAAAUUUUUGCAGAACUUUCAUGGCUAGGAAGGUAGAGUUAUCUGAAAUAGCUCUAUUUUUAAUUUUAAUGGACAUUUGUAAUCAGACCCUCAAUCCACUUAUUGAUUUGUUCUUUUACACUAAAUCAAACUAUCAUCCUUCUAUUUUUAAUUUUGUUUUUCUUCCAAUCAAAAAAAUUAUUUCCUUUCUUUCUCUCAAGGGAUAAUGGCAGAAACCUCCCUUGAGGUUUUUAAUAAUUUCACUUGGCUCCCCUAAAAUUUCAAAAAUUACACCUACAUCCCUAGCCCAUUUAAAAUGACAAUGCUAACUUUAAUAUUUUUAAUAAAACUCUCUUGCUACCAUGCUUAUGGAAAGGAAGGAUUUUAUAAUUUUUUAACAUUUUUUCUUCUUAUUCAUUUCUCUUUUAUUUUAUUAGAAGUAUAGAAAAACUAUCAAUGUUGUCCCUAAUAUCUAUCCAAAUUAAACAUUAAACUAGUAUUAUUUUUUUUUGAUAACUUUUAAUAUCAUCCAAUUUUUUUGUAACUUUUUUUUUGUUUCAAAAUCAAGGAUAUGUCAACAAUGAUUAAAAACAAAUAACCCAAAAUCACUACUAAAUUAUGAUAGUUUCAUCAACAAACUAGUCCAUAAACUUUUAUUAAAAAAAUAGUCCAUAAACUUUAAAAGAAACAAAUUAUUACUUUUUUCUCUAUCUUAAAAAGAAUUUAUAUUUCUAAUAAAGCACCAUGAAAAAUACCCUAUUCUAACAAAAGAUUUAUUAUAAUAGUUGAUUAUCAAAUAACAAAUAUUGGCAUGAAAAAAUUGACACUCUUUUUGUUUAGAAAAACAAAUUGAAUUUUAUAAGGUAAGGACAUUUUAAGGUAUUCAUUAAAUUUUUUACUUUAUUCUAAAGUUUGAUUACCAAAGUGUCAAGUCAAGCGAGGUAAGUGUACCUUUUAAAACGUGAAGAGAACUAAGUGAAAUAAUCCCUUUUCUCAUUAAAUGAGUCCAAAAAAAAAAACAGAAAUGUUGUCCCUGAAAUGCCAAAACUUAGAUGUUAAAGUGUAAUUUUACUAAAUUUUAUGGUCAAAAUAUAACCUCAAAUUUAUCCAUUUUUAGAUUUUUAUAAAGUUAAUCCUAAAUCUGCACUCGCGUGGUAUAGGUGACCUGCUAAACCCGGCAGAUUUUAGAAAUUCUUUUUUUGAAUUACUUUUUUAUCCAAUUUUUUAAUUUGACUAAUCACACCAACAUCAGCAUUGUCGUCUUCUCUUUGGACCUAAUUGUAAUAAUAUUGAACUUUUUAGGGGCCAAAUGCUAUUUUACCAAAACUUAGAUGUUAAAGUGUAAUUUUACUAAAUUUUAUAGUCAAAAUAUAACCUCAAAUUAAUCCAUUUUUAGAAUUUUUAUAAAAUUAAUCCUAAAUCUGCACUCACAUUGGUAUAGGUGAUCUGCUAAACCCGGCAGAUUUUAGAAAUUCUUUUUUUGAAUUACUUUUUUAUCCAAUUUUUUAAUUUGACUAAUCACACCAACAUCAGCAUUGUUGUCUUUUUUACAAUUAGAUGAAAAAAAAUUGAAAACGAAUUUGAAAAUUAGGGUUUCUUUCUUUCUUUGACACUUAGAUUUAUCAUUUAUGUUUGUAUAUAAUAUCAAUAUGAAUUCAUAAACUAAGGAAUACAUAUGGGUAUGGGUUGUGUGUAUGAACUAUGAACUAUGAAAUAUGAAAUGGAUUAUGGUUUAUUAAUAUUUAAGAAUUUAUGUACUUAUAUUAUAAUUUAUAUGUUUAGUUAUAUUAUAAUUUAUAUGUUUAUUUAAUUAUAUUAUUUUUUAUUACAUAAUGUGAUCCAACGGUCCAGUUGAACCAUUAACCCGCCAACCUGAUGUUGCUGCUGUGUUGAUGCCGGAUUGGUUUUAAUAAUUAUGCUAUCAACAUCCCCAUUCUUGGACCAUCGCAGCGUGUGCAGUAUCACUAGGUUUGUUUGGAUAGAGUAUUAUUUGAAAUAAUUACUGUAACAUUUUUUAUGAUGUGAUGUAUGUGAGAUUAAAAGGUACUCCCUCCCUUUUUUUAUAACUGACGUCUAAGAAAUUUGUUCUAGUGUAUUUUUAUCUGUCGUUUUAUUAUCCCCAUACAGUAUUAAUUAUUUUUUCACAAUUUUACCCUUUUAUCUCUCUUUUUCAAUACAGGGUUCUUAAUUACUACUCCUAGUAAUUAUUGCAUUGCUUUUGGCCUAGUAAAACAGCACCAUUUAGUACUCUAGUGAGAGAAAACAUGGGUGAAUUGGAUAAUUAAUGAGGGUACAAAAGGAAAGUAGUUACAGAUUUAAGCAAUGAAAAAUUUUUCUUAAUUGGUGUGCAAAACCUUAAACGUCAGUUAUAAAAAAAGGGAGGGAGUAAUUAAGAAUAUAAAAAUGUGGGUUGAAAAAUGUGUUUACGAUACAAGUGAAAUAUUAUUUAAAAUAUUUGUACUAUUAUGACGUGGGCUCGUACAUUUCUUUGACUCUUGUUAGGCGGGGAAGUUCACAAUUUUUUAUUCUUUUCUCGAUUAACCCUUUUCAAUCCUUGGCUUAGUAAUUGUCUUUUCCGGGUGCCUCCACGUGAAUGGGCUGGUGGUUGGCGCCUCCUCCUCGGGACCGUUAGGUCCUGGGGUCGAACCUCCGCAGCAACAUCAGGUAUAAAUGGGGGCCGGGUCGGAGUGGGGAUUAGUCGGGCCGCCUUUACGGACUUGACCCGGACACCCCACUCCGUCGACAAAAAAAAAAAAAAAAAAAAAAUUGUCUCUUUCCGGGUACUGAAGAACUGUGAAAAAUUGCUGCCCAGCAAAAUAUCAACACUCCAAAGUCACCGCUUGCCAUUUCAUGAUUUCAACCACCAACAUGUUUCCAACAGCCUGAGAGUCGGAAAUGUAUUGCGGAGAACAAACAAGAAAUACCUGGUCCCUUCUCAGUAAUAUUUCUCCGUCAUAAAUAGUGUAAACAAAUUUCUUCGUAUCGCCGGCGUUAGGGUUUUUCUUAUCGGAACGGCUCAAGAAUUUGCGGUUCGUUAAUUUAAUCUCUCUCGAGUUUAGGGGUUUAAACCCCUCCAAGUCCAAGCCUUUCUUUGCUACCCAAGUUCUUUUUUAUUAUUUAUUUAUUUAUUUGUUUUUCUUGGCGCAUUGAACAUUUCUUGAAAUUUAGGACGGGCGGUUCGCGCACCUGGGACGACGUAGAAGCAUAACCUGCGAGACGGAAUAGGUGUUUAUUCAGUAAAACGCUGCUGGCCUGGCAACUGGCAUGGUGUUUGAAACCUAAUUAGCUGCUGCAAAUUAUCCCUGAAAUUACCCCUUUUCUCAAACAACCAAAUGAGCCCAUAGGCCUCGGGGAGCCGUAACUCAUAAACGUUGUCCUAAGAAAACGAUUUUUCCCUGCUGGAGACUCACUCUCCAUAGCAGGUGCGCGACACGGGUCGGAUUCGGAUUAGUCGGGCAAAGCCCGGAUACCGGGCGGGCAACCAAAAAAAAGAAAACGAUUUCUUCCUUUCACUAGAGGUCUAGAAGCACGCUUUUUAAAGAUGGUAUUGCUCGAAACAGAAACGAAGUACAGUCCCUCUUUCACUCUUUAGCGCUUAUUUCUGGAAAAAACGGACAAAAUGGCGAAGAAGGAGACUGGAGCUUCUGACGUGCGAAUCGACAGCGUAGUAAUAACACCAUGGAAGGCCCUUCUAACGAACGUAACCUGCGGAGUAGGAUUAGGAGUAGCUUUCCAUGCUGCCAAUAAUUUCUACUCCAUCAAUUUGAUUCAAAAUCCGGCAAAAACCCUCCGUCUGAUCUGGGUACUGACCAUAUCUAUCAAUUCCUGUCAACUCCAAGUUGAUUAUUUCUCAUUUUUUAGUUUUCUAAUCUCUCUCUCUCUUUUUCAAUUGUUGGUUUGAUUUUUUGAAGGUUAUUGAGGCUCCAGUCGUGAUUCUGCUGUACAGUCUCUUUCGACAUCGUCCUAAUCAAUGCUCUGUAAUUCCAAUUAAUCCCAUUUCCUCGUCUGAUUAAUUUCUUUUUUUUUGUUGGUUAUUUUUAUAUGUUAAUCUCUUCUUUUUAACUAUUAAACGAGGUUUUGAUAUGUGUAUUGGACAGUACUUGAAAGCCGUAGUACGAGGUUUGUUGGCACUACCUGCUGGUUAGUCGUUCAUUGCUUUUUUGUUUUUAUAUAAUUUAAUUAACUUUUAUCACUCAAACUUCUUGGUUAAGUGGUUGGGAUUUCAAAAGUUGCAAUCUUUAAUUGCUCUGUGCUCUUUAUUUUUGUUUCUUAUUAUUUUUUAAAAAUUUAUGAAGUGAUUUCUUUCUUUGAAGGUUAAUGAUGUACAAGUAAUAGAUAAAGUUGAAGGCUUUGAGAAGUAAUUUUUAGUAAUUUAUAGGUUGAAAAGAGUUACGCUAGCACUGUUUAGCACUUGUACCUGUAAAAAGAUAGGUUAUUUGAAUACAGAACAAGGAUAUUACUUGAGGACUCAUUCUUACACAACUUUCUAUCUUUUGUUUCAAUACUUUGCCUGCACUAGUGGUAUAAUAGCUUUAUAGCUGAAUGUUCGUCUGUCAAUACUUGCUUAACAUUUUUUGUUAUUUUGUUGUCUUUUUCAUUAUAUUGGAUUCUAAGUAUGUUGGUUUUUGCAUGUAAAUACACAGGGGCAGUAGUGAAUGCACUUGGAGCUAUAGCAUUGGGAGCACCCAUGAUUCAGUAUGUAACUUAUCUGGGUUGUUUCCAGUCUAUUUAUUAUGAUUUUGAGAACUACUGAGGUUAAACUUCAGGUUGGACAAAUGGUCUCUGUUCUAUUCUAUCCCAUGGUACAGAACUGCUCGUCGAUGUUAUGGAGUAUAGCAAAUCCUAGACUAUCUUGCACUGAAAUGGGUGAAUAGCAGUAACCAUUACUAUGAUCAAAUAGACAUGUGCAGAAUAAUACAAAUCCUGAGUAGCAAGCAUGAAAAAGAGUUUUUUUUUUUUAAAUUAUAGUUCAGGAGUUAUUUUGACACUUCACAACUAUUUUGUGGAACAAAUUGAGAUAAUUUUCACAGUUUUUAUCGUUAUCUUGGAUCGGAUGUUUUAUUCUGUGGUUAAUUACAGGAACUUCAACAGGACCCUCCACUGGUCUCUUCUGAUGUCAGUGCUUACUGUAAGUGUUUCAUUUGACAUCUCAUUUGCCAUUCUGUAUCUCAUGCUUCAGUAAACUCCUGGAUCAACUGGACUAGCUCCGAAAUUUGUGCUGGAAACCUAGUAACUUGAGGUAAAAUUUGCUUUGUUUUUGUAAGUAAUCAUAGAUAACCAUCAAAUUUUCCUCUGUGCCAUAAGGAUCUUAAUCAGUCAUUUCCUGGUCUGUAAAACUUCUGCUGCUGUUGGCAGUGUGUCCCAGCAGCUUCUGUGUUUGGUUCUUCUUGGGCUGACUGGCACCGGAUAUUUGCUCACACAAAGUAAGCAUAUGAAACUAAUGUGAUUUUAUUUUGCCGACAUCAUUCCCUUUUUGUUUUUCUAGCAUUGAGAAGUAAUACUCGUGUUAUUUGACUUCUGCAAUUGUUCGUAACUUUUUGUUAGGCCAAGUGGACCUAUAGAGUACAUGAUCUGCCUACCUGCUCAUGGAGCUGUCAUUGGAGCAUGGUUUGGCGCUUGGCCAAUGCCACUUGACUGGGAAAGACCAUGGCAGGUAGGCUUACCUUCCUAUCGAAUACCGGUCAUUUGAAACUUAGAUGAUUUUUGCAUUCCUUUUAUCUACAGUUUUGACUCUCUCUCUCUCUCUCUCUUUUUUUCUUCUUCUUCUUUUCUUACUGUGUACAUCAAGAGUUUGUUCAUCAAGAACUUAGUAGUAAGAGUGGCUCAGAAACCAUUGAUACCUUCAGGAGUGCCCUGAGGUCUACCAUCACAUGGCCAAAAAAUCUUCUCUUGUUACAUUCUCCAAAAUAACACAAAAGUAAAGUAUGGAACUUGAUAUGUUAAUGCAGCGUAUGAUAUAGUCAGGGUUCCCUGUUGACAAUUCAAUAAUUGAUGCUUAGCUUUCAUGGUUAGAUUGUUGUGUUGGCUCUGAUAUUCUUGUUGUUCACUUUGCCUUUUCAUAUAAAGAUGCCAUAUUAACAUUGCCUUAGUAUGAAUUUUAGACCCUGCACAUGAAAUUGAGUCUUGAAAAGCACUGGAGAGAUGGUGAGGGUUUACGCAUAGUAGUCCUGAUGUGGUUCUGAUAAUUCCAUGAUGUAGUGAUGUGUUGAUAUAUUGUUCCAAGCAUAAUCUCCUAGGUCAUGUUAGUUGCAAUGGUUUUGGUAAAUGUACUUGACCAUAUAUGUUCGAGCUUGGCAAUUAGAUUCUAACUGUUGGAUAUUGUUCAGCCUUGGUUUGCAGCAUGUGGUUCAGUUGUCAUGCUUUGUACCCUGAGACUGAAAGUAUUUGAAUUUGUUUGUAGGACUGGCCGGUUUGUGUGAGCUAUGGAGCUUUGGCUGGGUACUUUGUCGGGAUGGCGGCAGCUUUUGGUUUUGUCCUCUUCCUAAAUAAACGAAGGCAUGUAAAAGGAGACUAAUGAUGGAGAAUUCGACAUUAAUCUUAUUGGAGGUUGCUAUCGAUGACCCUAUUGAUAGACUGAGUUGCAUCCAGCUGACCAUAGGACCUCACCUGCUGAGCGGAGGUUUUGUAAUUUUUUCCCAGUAACACUACAAAACUCAUCCCUCCCCAGAACUUUUCUUUUUGCCCGGGCAAUGCAAUUUGCAGAAACUUAGAAGUACCUUUGGUUCCCACUGGAAGUUCAUUCUUUACCCUUUCUUUUCUCUUUCUUUUUCCCACUGUAACUCUAUUUCUUCCAUUAUGAUCUGCUACUGUCUUCUAAAGGGAAAAUCCUCGUCUGGUGUAUGCUGAGGUUGUGAACAAGAAGGAUGUUAUUCCUGAGAGAUUAGCAUCCAUGGCACACAUUCCUCAAAUUUUCGCUUUCCAUUGUGAAAAGCUUGAAUUACUGAGUCCUGGUUUUUGCUUACAGGUGAAGAUAUUUCACAGCCAUUGUUUAUGCUUUGUCUUUCAAAUAAACUUUGGGCAGAUGGGACACUUUAUACCUUUUUUUAACCCACCAUGUUUGUACAUUUCCACUUCUCAUUGACUCACCAUGACUUUUGACGAGGAUAAGCAGAGACACAAACCAGGUCACCACUCAUCACCCAUCACUCACUAAUCUUGUAAUAGUGCUGCAAUUAAUGAUGCAAGGACCAGUACGUACCCAAAUCUUAUUUGUCCAUUUUCUAAAUCUACCCAAGAAAAAAGUAUGGUACCAUGCCAACUGAUCUUUUCCUUUUCAUGCUUUACCAUGCUACGAAUGAGGGAUUAGGCAACAAAAUACCAAAAAAAUAAUAAUAAUAAAGAAGGAGAAUUUUGUUUAGCAUUCAAGCUCAUCAAAAGGCAAUUCAAGCCAUUGGCCAACAAGCCUAGCGGUGGCGGGAAAAUUUACCGGACGAUAACGAGCACCCUUUCUUUCCAAGCCUCCGGUUCUGUAACUCCGCGUUCUCGUCACGCCAUGUUAUGCGUACGUGCAUGCUAGACUUCCAUAAAAGCCCUUGGGCAUUCCAUCACAAUGACAAUAUUGCCCCAACAAUGACCAAAUGUCGUGCCAUUAUAGGCUCGUCACUCAUCAAACUGUCACAGCCGGUCAAGCUACCGGCACUGCCACAUCAUCGAGGAGCUCAACCCGCGAUGCCCCAGAUGGCUCCUCUCUUUGUUACACGUGUAACGGAGAAAAUUGCAAAAGUGGGCCCUACAACCGAACCCUUUAAAACUCUCUUAGAGCCCUAAGCGCCAAAAAAAAAAACCCCCACCUUUCCCCCUCCCCUCCCCUAACCCCAGGCCACUCUCAAGUCACAACCCCCAAAAUCUCUCAAAAACCCCUUCACUUUCUCUCUCUAGAAAAAAUCGCUUCUUUGAAAUUUCUCCGAUCAUCUGUUUCCAUCAUCAACUGGUACCUCCACUUCAGCAACUGGUACUUGUUUUUAACAUUUCUAUAUGCAUAUGGGUUUAGUUCUCGAUUUUAAUUUGGAGCUUUUCUUCUUUUUUUUUUUAAAAAAAAAUUCUUAUUUAAGCUUUAUUUUUUUGCCUGUCCUGUAUUUAAUGUGUUCGGUGCCUUUUGUUUUUUCUUUUUUGGUUGUUGGAUGAUGCAAUUUUUAGACUUCUGUAAUUCUUUUAGUGCUUUUGGUGUGGUUUCUUGGAUUAUCGUAACCAUUAACUGUGGGCAUGUCUGGGCUUUUGGAAGUCUACAACAAUUUUCGAAGAUAUUAAUCGCAACAGGGUUUAGGGCUUUUCUAGAAUUGGAGGUUGUAUUCAUCUGUUUGCUGUGUAUAUCUUGCGCACAGAUGGCGGUUUUUUUUUUUUUCUUUCUUGAAAUGUUUGAGCUCAAAUUUUGCUGGGUGAUUUCCAUCCGAUUUCUCAUUAUUGGGACUCACAAAUAUUACCAGCAAAUUAUUUCAUGUCUUGGUUCUGAUGAAAAUGUUAUUGAGGGAGAUACUGUAUUUACCUAUAUGCAUACAAACGAAUUGCUGAUACCCUUUUUCCUCCCUUUUUUUUUGGGUACUUAGACGGGAUUUAUUGAUUUGAGCAAUAAAUGGGCACGAUCACUGUUCAGACAAGGUGGUUUAGGACUCUCUCUUUAUUAGAUCUUAGGUUUGUGUGCUUUUUGUUAAAUUUGGAGUAUUCAGCAAGAAUUAUGCCAGGUUUUGUUAAUCGCUGGCGAGAUAGUGUGCACCUACUUUCCAAUUUUGCAAAUGUGAUGUAAUUAUCCCUUUAUUCCAUUUCAAGUUCUUUUUGCACAUUUUACUUGAGAAAUGAGAUUUGAUGUGUUCACCUAUAGAAAUUGCUUAUGCUUGGUCUUCUCCCUUUAACUGUCAGCUUCUACUAAUCUUGAUCAGUUUAGAGAUUUGCUUGUAUGUUUGCUGGUGCUGGGUAUUUUGCAUUGACAUUCUACUGUGUAUCGUUUUACAGAGUUAGACUGGUAGACAUCACUCUCUUGACUUGUCUCUCCACUCUGAAACUAAUUAUGGGAUUUGACAAGCCAAAUGAUGAGCAAUAUCCACCCAUGCCAUUGCAGGGUGAUGGUGGAUGUAUGUUUGCCAGUAGGGAAGGUGGAACUGUUGACUGUGGUCAGAAUUUUCCAAGCUGUACCAGUUCUGCUGACUUUUCAUUCCCAUAUGUAUCUCUGGCUAAUUCUGCUUGGAAUGACAUGCAUGCAACCCAUCAUUCUUACCCACAUGACCUUAGAAAUGGUAGCCAUUUGAUGACUGGUCUAAUGGGGCUUGACAACUUGCAAAGUCAGGACAACCUUAAUUUGCAUAGUCUCAGAGGUAAUGUGUUUAUGUACCUUGGCAAUCUCAGAGCUUCUGAAAGUUUAUAUCCUGAAGGAAAAUUAGAAAAGAUGUUGGUUAAUUAACUAAAGUAAUAUUGUUAUUUCAGGUAGCUUGAGGAAUGUAGAUGUUCAGAAUACUCAGGCUAACAUAAAUUUUUUGCCAACUGGGAGUAAAGCUGCUGGAGAUUACCAAAUGAAUGUUCUGGGAGGAGAGGCAGAAGGUAGUACCGUAAACUGGUCACAGAUUAGUGAGAGUUCUUUAAAUUUAGGAUGUGGUGCAUCCUUGUCACACCAAAAUACAAGUUUCCUUGAAGCUGGAGUUAGAAAUGAUGUCAAAGUAAAUGCCUUCCAUCCAAGACAAGUGGACGGAAGUUUUUUAACCCUUGGAAUUGGAGGUAAUCCAGAGACAAGAGCUAAAUCUAAAUUUGAUUCCCGAGAGGUCGCCAAUAAACUGGUGGAAGCAGUUGGGCCCCAAAGCAGCAGUUCCCAAAUUCAACCUGCCACAAGUCUAUCAAGUUUUCAAACUUAUCCUGGCUGUUCUCCAAGUACUGUAUACAAACUAGGUGACUGGACAACCUCUAAAAAUGUUGAUGCUAUUGUUGGGAUGCGUUCAAGCCCAUUUAUCAGUCCUCAGAUGCCAGAAGCUUUUAAGCAAUAUGAUUUCUUUGAGAAUAAUGCUAAGAAUACAAGUUUUGUCGAUGAGUCUAUGGGAAGAAAUUCUGCACUAGAAUCUUAUAAAUUUUUUCAAGGUGAUCCUUCUCCAUCUUCAUUGCCGUUUAAUAGCACUUAUGCUUGCGUCCCCCAACCUGGAUAUACCAAACAGUCAGAGUUGGGAUCAGAAGCCUUCGAGUCUACCUGGGUGUCCACUCAACCAGCCAGAGACCUUCUGUGGAAUUCUCAUUCUAUAGAGCCAGGAAAUAUCUCAUCCUCCUUUGGUUCCCAUUGUAGCAGCCUGAGGGAUGUCUCUCUCCCACAGGAUUACUUAGGUGAGUUUUAGAAGUUGUUUCCUGUCUCUUGUCACUUACGAGUGUAGAUUACAAAUUUGGCUGGAAGGUUGUCAUUUUUAUGUUUAUCUCAUAAACAAAGUCAAAGUUGGGUUCAAUGAUUUUUAUUGUCAUCAAGCUGUCUAAGUUUCUUUAUGUCUUGAAUGACCAAAUUACGGUUGCACAAAGGUCCAUAUUUUUUAAUUUACUUCUUUAGAAAAAAGGAGGAAUUGUUUCCCCUUUUUUAUGACAAAACUAGUAUAUGGAUAAAGUCACAAUCCAUGGCAGGCAAUUUCCUUGGACUGAGAUGGAAGCUUUUCAUUCAAGUGCCCAAAGUGAUACAUGCCUACAUUCACUGUUGUUGUGAAUUCUCUAGCAGCAUGACAACUUUUCUUAUUGCAUUGAGUGUAAGCUUAUCUGUAAUUUGGGUUGUAGACUGUGUAGAAAUUUGCCAAUUAAUAAAGAUUUAUAAGGUAAUGAGAGUUGGAAUUGAUUUUGAUUUUUGCUGUUCCACACCUGAGACAGAGAAGCAAAAAAUGUUAGCUUGUGUUAGUAUAGCCAUUAUCACUUAGAACAAUCUGUGAACCUCAACUUCAGGAAUUUCUGUGCUUCCAUCAGAGGGUUGUGCAGCUCAAGCUGUUGGAAGUGGUGAUCAGUGUGCCAGUGGUCAGCCAGAUGGUGAGUGCAUCUCAUUUAUGCGUAUUUGCAUCACAUACAAAUGUACAAACUCCUUACAUGCCAACUACUUUGCAUUUUAUAUGCAAUUCUUUGUUUAAGAAGCUUUUGAAACUCCUUUGGCAUUACCAUUUUUCUGCCAAUUAGGAGAAAAAGGAAAAGCUUUUGUCAGAUAUCAAGAACGUGUUCACAUAAACACAAUGGCCUGAUCUACUUUUCUGUUAGUUCUUUAACAUUAUUUUGUAGCCUAGUUCAAUUUGGAUGGAAAUGAGAUUAUCUCAAGUAGUUUCUUUCCUUUAAAUAAAAUUUCUUCAAGUGAUUAUGGCCGUGGUAUCUCACACAGGAAGUGUUCAUUUAUUAUUUUACUCGGCCGUACCUGAUCUUUUGUAUGUCCAAUUAAAGUGAUUGUGAUCAUGACUUCUACAAUGUACUGAACUUGUUAAGUUUGGGGCUUGGGAACUAGAGGAAAAUUUGUGGAGUUUGCGAUAGUGUAUGGUCUGAUAGUGCUUAAACUAAAUGUUUUUCCCCUCGUAUAGAAUCAAAUAACAGCAAAAUGGACCAAUAUUUUUCAUCUGCUAUCCUUGAAUUAACUAGCACAAUGAAGUGAGCAAAUUUCAUGGUAAGCAUUUACUUGCUACUAUUCUUCUGCAGGCCAUGUAUCUUCUCCUUACAAGGUUAAUUCUGCACCGCAUUUUCGAAGCACCAAUUAUCCCAAGAAUACCAGUCUUCUGAUUGCAGAGGGUAGUGCUAACAAGCCUGCUAUACGUGCUCCAUUUCCUCGAAGGCUAGGGGUACAAAUUGAUGAUCCUGCUGCUACUCAAUCCGCUACUGGAAGUGUAUUAUCCGAGAAUAUGGGAGCCCAGACUAGGAGUAAGUAAUUCUCAAUUCAAAAGCAGCUCAAUCCUUUUCAUGAUGCAGUUGAAUAUCAUAUCCUGUGGGCUGUUUGAUUUAGUAUAUUGGGCUGCAUUUUUUCUGUUUUGUCCUUCUUGAGACCUUAACAAGAAUAGUGCUUUAAGGAUGACUACAGCAUUUUUGACACCCCAAUGCUCGAAAAAAGUUCACCACCCACCAGAACCCCCCAAAAAGGGGGAAAAAAGAUGAGAGAGAGGGAGAGGGAGAGGUUUUUUUCUUUUUUUUUGGGGGGGGGGGGGGGUUGUGUGUGUGUGGAGGAGAAGAAAGCACCAGUUGUGAAUUCCAUAGGCUGGUUUCUAGUAGUCAAGUAUGCAAAAUGCUCUAGUUUAGCCUUUGGUUGACUGCAUAUUAGUGAUCUAUGUUGGCUCCACUUUUUUGCUUUUCAUUAUUUGUGUUUUGUGUGUGACAAGAAGCUUUUCCUAGUGUGACUUAUCAGGGAAGCAGGUUAGACUGGCCCCAUACUAAGAUAGUUCCUUCAGUUCAACUGAUGUUACUUGAAAAUUGUGUCGUGUUGAGCUAAUUUUGGUAAUAUGACUCAAUGUCAAGGUUCAAGGUGAUAAGAUUUUUAUCACAUGAUGGAAAGACGAAACAGAAAGAGAGAAAAAUUUGAAAAUAAAGACCGUCUAAAAUCUGGUUCACAUACCAUGUGCAUCAUCUUUUGACCUUGUGAUUAUGUUGUUAAUUGUCCUUGGUGCUUGGUAUAAAUGUUCAGGUAAUGAGCAUCAGUCUCGAAUUUCUGGACCUGUUCAGCUUGCUAAAAAUUUUCUCGGGCCCAUUUCUGGUAUUAAUCUAUCAUACUUGAUAUAUUGCAAUUUAGUCUAUACAUAAGCAUAAUAUUCUGAUGUUCAGAUAAUCCAUAAGAGUGACGGUCUGAUGUUCCCAGGUCAUCGUCAAGACCGUUUGGCAGCUAAAUUUAAUGUUCAAAGUCCCUCCCUCUCAACUGGUAUUUAUGAUUAGAUUUUUAUCAGGAGAGAGAAAUCUGAGUACCCUUAUCGGCAUGUUUCCUGUAUGAAAAUUUUUGUGUUUUCCUUUGUCUGAACUAGGUCAACCUCAACGUGCUGUCCCUGUUCGGUUUCCCAAAGAUCUUAUGAGAGUUGAUCAUACAACUGGUAUUUGUUCCUUUAGAAGUGCUUAUAGUGUUUUAUGCAAUCAGACUGAGUUUCAUGGCCAGCUUAUUGUGAUUAAUGAUUAUGAUUGUAACUUUUCCACUUACAGGUCAGGUAGUUCCUCAAAAAAUUGGUAGGACAUCUCAUGUUCAUGGUGUUAUUGGCCAGCCAUCUCUUAAAAGGAGAGCAAAUGAAACCCCAUCAGUGCCUUCCUGGGGUCAGCGUAGGAGGUUUUUCACUCCCAGUUACCAUUCUGCAAUGAGCACUCCUGCUAUUCCCCCUCUUCCUUCCACUUCGGCUCACAUAAAGUGGACAGGUAUUCCCUGGCACCCUUUCACUUGCACCAUUUUCCUAUAGUUUCGGAUAUACUGCACAUCGUGGCGAACUGCAAUUACUAUUUAUCCAUGUCUGAGCAUAUAGAUCUCCAUUAUUGACAUUUAAGAGACCUGCAAGGAGCAGUAUUCUUCAGAAACUGCAUGGAAAGAAGUAAUUUUUUCGUUUUAAACAUGUUUAUCGCAUCACUGAACGUUGAUAUACCUUUCACAUUUAGCGCAAAAUUAUUUCAAGGACCGGCUGACUUUGAGGAUAACAAUUUUGCCUAGGCUUGUCCUGGGUUCGGACCAUAUUUGUUCAAGUUGAUCUAAUGCAAAGUAACCACAGCGAGAAAAAAUUGAUUAAUUUAACCAAAUGCACCUUCUAUGCUGCUACAAUCUUGAUAAAGAUUACAAGAAGUGACUGUUAGACGUGCUUGCAGAUUCUGAAAGUCCUCCUCGGCCAACUGGACAUAGAUGCAUGUUAUGCAAGAGGGAUCUCUCUUUCAGACCAGAAGGCCCCAUUUACCAGCCUAUCAAUCCCCCGGCUAUCGCAGUUCUUCCCUGCGGCCAUACGUUUCAUGACCAAUGCUUGCAGAAUAUCACCCCAGAAGAUCAAUCGAAAGAUCCUCCGUGUAUACCCUGUGCCAUUGGUGAAAAACAAGCUUGAAAUUAUUCUCUCAUAUUCUGUGUUGGGCAAACUCUAAAGAUGGGAAAGCUGUAUCUACAUUUAACUGUAUCUACAUUCAAUUAGGAUUUAGUAAGUGAAGAUAACUUAAGAGGGAAGUAAAAUUUUUGUAUAGUUGUUGGAAAUUAGGUGUAGAGUUCUUGCAACUGUACAUAGUGAAUGUGGGAUGGCAGAUGCGGUUGGACAGGUAUUAAAAGCAACCAUUCAGUUACCAAUUUGCCUCGAGUGUACAUGAAGCCUCCCUUUGUUUUGAGAAUGAAUAGAACGAAUUUCAUUUUGUGCUAAUGAGGAUGGUACUAUCUGUCCUUCUUGGCGUUUGAACGCGUCUAAAGUUCUUCUAAGCUUUUCCUUGGAAUAUGCUCUGGAUUGUUAUUGUACGCGUAAGCCUUACGUAUCCAAAAUUGCUCUGCGCUGAUUCCUCCCGCAAUUGUACGGUAUUUCUCCAUAGUUAUAUACUAUAAGGUAAAUUUUGAUGAGUGCUGAUUCAACUCUUUUAACUGUAAAUUACCUAGAAAAUUCUUGUUGGUAAUUAAAUUGGGAUUUUGUGUUUUGAAGUCUAUUUAAUUGAUAUGUUUCCUUUCAAGAUAGUUAUAUGUUUCGUUUUUUAAGAAAAAACCCCAUAUCAUACGAUCCAGCAAAGUGCUUCCUAAUUUCCCUCGCUUUUCGCUAAGGUAAAUUUGUCAUUUACAAAAUUGACAAUCUAUAUCUAUAUCUAUAUGUAUUGAGGAAGGGGUUUUUAUCAGAGACCCUCUCAAUGGCUUUUAAACUUCUCAUUCUUUUUUCUAGAUUUUUGUAUUUAUUUUAAUACAUAAAAAGUAGUGGAUUAUAAUCAACCCUAUCACCAAUCAAAUUUAAAAUUUAAAACAUUCCCACUAUCUACUUCAUAAACCGUUUAUACUUUGUUAUUUAUACUUUAAAUCCUUUUUACUCCUUAAUUAAAAACAAAUGCUCAUUCGCAUGCUAUUUUAAUACAAUGUUACAUUUUUAUAAUUAAGAAAUAUUUAUCCCCAAACUAACCCUAUAACCACCCCUACAAAUGAGCUUUGCAAAUUACAAUUACGUUUCAAAAAAAUCACAAAUGUGCAACUACAUGUAAAGUUGAGAGAGUAAAGUACAACUAAAUGUAAAGUUAAUAGGUUUACUAUAUUUAACCCUAAAAAAAAUCCCAAGAACGGAACAAGUAGUGGGUCUACUUGAUUGUAAGAUUGUUUUAAUUCUAUAGAUUUUUGUAUUUAUUUUAAUACAUAAAAAGUAGUGGAUUAUAAUCAACCCUAUCACCAAUCAAAUUUAAAAUUUAAAACAUUAACACUAUCUACUUCAUAAACCAUUUAUACUUUAUUAUUUAUACUUUAAAUCCUUUUUACUCCUUAAUUAAAGACAAAUGCUCAUUCGUAUGCUAUUUUAAUACAAUGUUACAUUUUUAUAAUUAAGAAAUAUUUAUCCUCAAACUAACCCUAUAACCACCCCUACAAAUGAGUUUUGUAAAUUGCAAUUACGUUUCAAAAAAAUCACAAAUGUGCAACUACAUGUAAAGUUGAGGGGGUACAGUGCAACUAUAUGUAAAAUUAAGGUGUUUACUAUAUUUAACCCUAAAAAAAAUCUCAAGAACGAAACAAGUAGUGGGUUAUAGAUUUUUGUAUUUAUUUUAAUACAUAAAAAGUAGUGGAUUAUAACCAACCCUAUAUCACCAAUCAAAUUUAAAAUUUAAAACAUUCUCACUAUCUACUUCAUAAACCGUUUAUACUUUGUUAUUUAUAUUUUAAAUCUUUUUUACUCUUUAAUUAAAGACAAAUGCUCAUUCGUAUGCUAUUUUAAUACAAUGUUACAUUUUUAUAAUUAAAAAAUAUUUAUCCCCAAACUAACCCUAUAACCACCUCUUCAAAUGACCUUUAUAAAUUACAAUCACGUUUCAAAAAAAUCACAAAUGUGCAACUAAAGGUAAAGUGCAACUAAAUGUAAAGUUGAGGGGGUAAAGUGCAGCUAAAUGUAAAGUUAAGAGAUUUACUAUAUUUAACCCUAGAAAAAAUCUCAAGAACGGAACAAGGAGUGGGUUAUAGAUUUUUGUAUUUAUUUUAAUACAUAAAGAGUAGUGGGUUAUAACCAACCCUAUCACCAAUCAAUUUAAAAUUUAAGACAUUCCCACUAUCUAUUUCAUAAAUUGUUUAUACUUUAUUAUUUAUACUUUAAAUCCUUUUUACUCCUUAAUUAAAGACAGAUGCUCAUUCGUAUGCUAUUUUAAUACAAUGUUACAUUUUUAUAAUUAAGAAAUAUUUAUCCCCAAACUAACCCUAUAACCACCCCUACAAAUGAGAUUUGCAAAUUACAAUCACGUUUCAAAAAAAUCACAAAUGUGUAACUACAUGUAAAGUUGAGGGGGUACAGUGCAACUAUAUGUAAAGUUAAGGGGCUUACUAUAUUUAACCCUAAAAAAAAUUCCAAGAACGGAACAAGUAGUGAGUUAUAGAUUUUUGUCUAGAUUUUUGUAUUUAUCAAAUCGAAUGCACAAUAUUUGUAAGUAUUUCAUUUUAACAACAUUCAAUUACAUUCAUUUUUGUUCAUAUAUCAUUCAUUUUCUAAAAUAAAUUUCUAUUAUUUUUUUUAUGAUCUAUUUUCCGAAAAAAGACAGUUCUUGAAUGAUAUGCACAUCUAUCAUAUUUCAAACUAUUGUUAGACAGAUAUUACAUUUUAAUUGUGUUAGUACAAUUUUUAAACUUUUUUUAUUCACCAUUUUAUUUUUACUUUUUCAAUAAUGCCAGUACCGUGCAUAGCACGGGUAUUCACACUAGUACACAAUUAUUUAGCCUUAGCGGCGGGAAUAUGGCACAUCCGGAAGUAGUUAUUUACAGCCAUAUGAGCCUUGGGCCUUGGCUGGCUAUCCAGCGGCUAGCAAUUAGUUAGUAGUAAGAGCACGUGACUGCGCAUGAUUUCUCGCAUAAUAAAACAAUUAUAAUUUAUUAACUGCACGUGACGUAGUCUUCCAGCCGUUUCAGGACCAAGAAAAUUCUCCCAAACAAACAUCGGCAUAUCCUUUAGUAUUUAGGAAUUUGAUCCCUUCACUUUCUUUUUCUGGGCAUCUCCGAAAAUCCUUACAAACAUUAGGUGCAUUUCAGUAAUUCAGAAACUGGACCCAUAAAUUAUGAAAUUAGUCUAUAUACGCAUACUAGACGAGUUCAAUAACACAUUUGCAGAUAGUACAAAUAUAUUUCAAAAUUACGAAAUUAAGAGUAUAAAUAAAGUUAAUACAUUUUUCACAAAUCGUGCUAUACUAGUACCAAUUUUCACUCUUAUAGUUAUAUAAAAGAAAUUAAAUUAGUUAAAAUUUUAUCACCUCAUUAGCUUUAUAUGAAUAAAUCUAUGGAUGUUAUCACCUUAAAUUUUUUUUUUACCCAAAAAAAUCUAAGGAUUUUAUAAUAUAGGUUAUUAUUGUUUUGUAUGUAACUCAAAACAUAUUUUAUUAUUCUUACAAUAAUUUUCAAAACUAUUUUCACAAUUUCAAGUAUAAUUCGUGAAUUAUAAUAUGCCCAAAUUUUGUUACAUACACAAUUAGCUGAAAAAUAUGAAUACUUCGAAAAAUAUUCUUGAAAGGAAAAAUAAUUCAACACAUCCCCUACAUUUCGUCAAAUAAAUAUUUUAAUCCCUCAUUUUUAAAAUAUUAAUUUUACAUCCCUUAUAAUUUCAAAUUAAUAAAACUUGAUUCCUACCAAGGUUUUUGAUCAUUUUUUAGUCUAAAAUCAGACCAUGUAACCCAUAAACAGUUAUUUUUUAUAUACAAAAAGGCCAGAUAUCACAUUUUUAGUUACAAAGAUGAAUAUAGAUUAUGUCAAAUUCCACCUUUUCAGGAGAAAAUAAAUAUGGUUCAUGCCAGAUCCUACUUUUGUAGAAGCAAAAGUGAAUAUAGAUCAAGAAAUUUGUUUAACUACAAAUGAGAUCUAAUAUUUUUUUCUCUUACAAAAAUGAUUAUGUACGGGUCACGUGAUUGAUUCAAGAUAAAAAAAGAAAGGUAAAAAACCUAGAUUGCAAUCAAAUUUUAUCGACUUGAUUUUGUAAAGGACGUAAAUUUAUUAUUUUAAAAGUGAAGGAUAAAAAAUUCAUUUAACAAAAUGUGAUGAAUAUUUUAAAUAAUUUUUCCUUCUUGAAAUGUACGAAAUAUAAAAUAAUUAUCCAUACAAACCACCGGACCAGUAUGAUACGAGUAUAAUACAAAUUUGUACAAACUCGGCCGAACAGAUAUACCACUUACCACACAUGAAAAACGCGACAACAACCUUUGCCUCAGUAAUUUCAAAUUUUCAAUCAAUCAAAUUUUAUUUAAAUUUUAAAUUAAAAAAAAUAAAAUACCAACUGAAAAUGGGGUCCACCAAGAAAGACAAAUCUAGGCCGUCCAAAGCCAUUGACGAUUCCGUCAGCCACCUCUCUCUUUGGGUGAUGAAUUUGAUGCCAGGAAAAACUCGAGUGCUAAAUGCUAAUCCUCUCUCUCUCAUUUCCCACAUCCGUCCGUGUUGAUGAUUCAAUAUUCUCUCACUUCAUCGGCUUGUGUAAUAACAACCUUCUUCUUCUCGCCUACUCCAACUCCUAACAAAGCCUACUAUUUCCUCAACAGCAACAGACUUAAAUUAGUACUGCUACUACUAUAAUUAGCAGCUAAGGUCUGAAGAGGCAGAUAUAAUUUCUACUACUAAAAAAAAAAAAGAUCUUUUCUUUCCUUGUUAUCUUAUGAGUCCAUAAAAUAAAAGGAAGAAAUAGCUUUUGAUGGUCAGCUCUUGACUUGUAAGUCGGAUAAGGUACGAAUGCUAUGGAGGAACCAAAUAAGAAGGUGGAGCAGACUUUGAUCAAUGGAUUCUCUCCUGUUUCUUCUGCUCCUGUUUUCUGGAAAUCCAGGAGAAGGGCAGGUUAGCUACCCUUUUGAUUCUUGUGCUUAAUUAUCCUUUUCUCUUCGCAUCCUUGGGGUCAAAUUUUGUUUUGAAUUUGUGGGGUUUAAGGAUCAACCCAUGGUUUGAUGAGGGGUUGCAGGAUGCAAAUGACUGUAGAACCGUAGAUCUCUUCAUGCAAAGGCUAAGACUUGGGAAGAAUUGUUUGCUUUCUUGACAUUUGAAGCUUGGAGUAUUUUCUGCUUUGGUUCUUCUUUUUUGUCGGCUAAAUCAUUUGCAAAACUAAUCCCAACAAUUAACUCUGACAAUUUGACACAACUGCUCCGAGAUUAAGCAGCUUAGCCCUUAACCUUAUCUCUGCGACUCCUCCUCCUCCCUUUUUCUUUUUCUUUUUUUUUUUUCCCCUUUUCUGGGGUUGGGAACUUGCUGCUGGGAUGUGUACUCUGGACAUGGGCGAUGAUUGUGAAGUGGGAUCUUCCCAUGUGGAUGGUGUGAUGCGGUUGUGGGUUAGGGAAGGGAAGCGUACAGCUGCACCACCAAGACUUGGUCUGACUUUGCUCCCACGUCACUUCAUUACUCAUGAUUUAGGUUGGAGUUAGCUAGCAAAUCAACCUCAAAGAAAAUACUACUAUUAGAAAAGAAAAUAAAUAAAUAAAAAGGAUGGGAGAAAAUGGAUUGUCCAUCUACAAUCCUCCCCGUCUGAUUGGAAUUUUAUGUUUACCCCUAAAGAUUUUUUUUUGAAAAAGAAAUUUCUUUUUAGACUAUGAAAUGACCACCUCAUGAUUAGUUGGCUUUAAAGUUUUGUUGAUGAUUUAUUUGAGAUAAUUAUUGUAGCAUUUUUUAUGAUGUGAUGCAUGUGAGAUAAAAAGGUAAUUGAAAAAAUAAAAAGGUGAUUGGAAUCUGUGAAGCAAAUUAUUUUAUCUGAAAUCAUGCCAAUCCAAACAAACCCACAUUUGAUUUUUCCGUCACCAAAAUAAGUAUUUUUCUCCUCCACAGUUUUUCCGCUAUUAAGAUUCUACAUUUGAUUUUAAGAUCAUCUAUACCUAAUGUUAAGAAUCUUUUUCUUCUCUGUGACAUUUUUCUAUGGUGAAACUUCUGAUCAUAGUUAAUGAUUGUAAACUUGUGAUCUUAGUUAAGUCAUAAUCGCAAUUUCAAUCACUUAAUGUAAUAGCUGUAAUAUUUUCAAACCAGUAUGAGAAGAUCAAAAUUUUGCCAAUACUAAAUUGCAGUUUGCUCAGUAAAGUAGAGUCUAUUAACUGGAGACCUGCAAGCAUUUGACUCUGGAAUACCUCUUCAGACUAAAAACUAAACCAAACUAAUACUAGUUAUUUUUAAAGACUCUGAGACUAGGUUCACGUUUACAAGUUUAACUUCUUCAUAGCCUUAUGGACAUAGAUUUCAAAUAAAAGGGUGCCUCCUUCUAGUCAGAGUUUUGCCUUCUUACUUACUGCAACCCUACUUCGAAAGCACUAAUUCUUGUUACUUACUAUAGCAUCUAUUUAGCAGAUUAUAGAAGGCAGCAAUCUUGAGCUCUUUGCGAUUCCCAUCUUGCUUACUGCCUUAGUAAAAAUACUUUGAAACUAAGCAUAUUUUUUCCUGGAGAGAUUCCUGCUGAACGUUUGCAUCUUCCUGCAGUCAGCGUGAAGUAUUUAGACAAACCAACAGAAAAUGAUGCUGAUAAACCUCCAGAAACACAGGAAAAUCCCACCGCUGAGGCAAUGCAGGAGGAUUCAACCCCUGUUGUUCUAUCAGAGAAGAGGAAGGCACUCUUUGAACCACUGGAACCCAUGACAAAUAUAAAUGGUCGUAGACCAUCCGCUGAAAUGUUACUUCCCCCACCGGACUUUGAUGCAGCAACUUAUCCCAAAGGCUGGCUGAUUGGCAAGAAGAGGAAGCUUGUGAAUGUUGAUGUUGUGGAAAGCAUGCGCAGGAUUGCCGUCCAGGAAAUGAAUAGAAAGGUGGUGUUCUCGGUAGCCUCUUUGAGUACUAGAGCAAAUAUUGCUCUUUUUACUCGAAAACGCCGGUUGUCCUCUCACAGGAUGUAACAACUAAUUACAUUAUUUCGUUUGCAGGAUAGGGAGAUUGAUGGUCUGAAUGAGCAGUUAGAAGGGGAUGCUCGGUGCCUUGAGCAUUUGCAACUCCAGCUGCUGGAGGAACGGAGCAAGCGAUCUGAAGUUGAGCGUCAAAAUGCAAUGCUGCAAAACCAAAUUACAAUGCUCAUGGACAUGUUACAGGAGAAUGACGACGUAGAUGAUGAUGAAGGUGGAGAGGAGCCUUGAUUUUUUCGUUCUUUCUUCAAUAGUAGGAACUAGUCAUAUGGACUUUUCUUCUGGGGAGUAUUAUUUUAUUUUGCAUAUACGGUUGGCACAAUAUUUAUUUUGUAAUUUUGAGACUUAUGCGGUCAUGUGUGUGUAUAAUUAGUUCACAUAUAUUUCACAACUAGCAUAAAUUGUAUACUGUAAAUCUUCUUAAUGUUCUUAAUGAAAGUGUGAGGAACGCUUUGCAAGUCAACCAGAACAACUCUGCGCUUUGAGCUCUAUUUUGCAUGCAGCCGACUUUUCGCUUGACUAAUCGAUCAAAGACUCUGCCUUUAGUUUCUUAUACUUGUCAUUUUACAUUCACACGCUCUACCUUUGGUUUCUUAUGCUCAUCAUUUUUGUCGUUCAUAAAUCAAGAGGUCUUUGAUUGUGAAUCUAAGCAGCAGAUAAGCACGGAAACCCACUUCAGGGUAAGUCCUUACCUGUGGAAAAUUAUGCAAUCACCACCAUGCACUGAGCACAUGGAUGUAUGUAGUUUCUGAUUGCCAGAAAGGAAGCCUCGGAUUCAUAUGUAUACUAGAGAUGUUCUUCGAUAAGAUAAAACUGCACAUUUUCCACUUUCCACUUAGAUAAUGUGAUAUCAGCUACACCCAAUACCAAAUCUACAACCCAACAAGCAUAACACAAAAAGAAAAACAUUUAGGAUUCUUCAUCAAUGAGAAUCUCCGAAUCCACCACGGUAUGCAAAUUGCAGCAAAAGACCCUAACGUAUGUAUAUGUACAGGUUUCUGGGCAAGGAACUUCACUGGUAGACCCGAAGGACACAUGCUACCGAGCUUGAUUGUCAACAUCUUCUGAGAUGUUGAAUAAGAACUGAGGCAGAGAUGCUAUCCUUGGAAGAUUUAGCAGCAAGUCCCCAACAGAGUCCUUUCUAGACAUAGGAGGAGGCUGCUUGCACCCUAAGAUAUCUUCCAUUUCCCCCUCAGCUACGGCAGACUUUUCAUCGAUGUUGCUUCCACUGGCCUGUAAAGUAAAGCUUGAAUCAUCUAUUCUCUUAUCCAUCACCAACACAUCAGAAAUGCUCUCACUUUUAGAUGGCAAUAUUUGGCCUGUCAUAGGGUCUUUCUGCAGAAGACAGCACAGAGAAUUGACCCUUGACAUGAGAGACUUUUCAUCAGAAGCUGGCACGUAUUGAGAGUCACUAAACAAACAUCGGUUAAUUUCUUCCAGGAUCUCCAGCCCUUGUCGUUCGUCACUUGAGAGGAUGAAAUUGUCAGAUGUCCUCUGCUCUGAUAUCCGAUUUUCAAGAUGGCUCACAAGAUCACUCAUAGACAUAGAAGAAUGCAACCCCGGUACUCUGAUCUGAUGCCAGCUGCUAAGUUCCUUCCAUUGCUCUCCUCCACUAUUUUUUAUUUCUUCAAUUACAUGCGUAUCCAUUACUGAAUAAAUCAAAACACAGAGUCAAAUACUACUAGAGAGACGCGACUACAUAUAUAAACCUCCUUGGAGGAAAAGAAAUACUCUGUACAGAUUAUAAAUCAAAUGAAAAUGACAUUUUACAUAUCAAAUUUUUAGUAAAUAUCAAAUUUUUAGAAAUACUCUGGUCAGAAACUUUUAGUAAAUAUCAAAUUUUGGUUCAAGACUAUUAAAAGGACCGGUUACCUGAGCUGGGUGAUGGUGUUUCAUGUCUAAUAGAUUCUCGAGGUCUACUAACAGUGUCUUGUUCAUUCCUCGAAGAAGAUGAUUGACCACCUGAUGGUGAUGCUGCAUCCCUCAGGUUGAAGAAAGUGGGACUCUCAUGAUUGUUCAAAUCAAAUGCAGCUUUGUUUUCACUUGGGUCAUCAAACACAGAGAUUCUGGGUUCAAAAUAUGGAGAAUCCAACGUUAUCUCUCCUUGUUUACUCAGGAAGUUAAGACGAGGAUCACAUUGAAUAAGCUUUUCGAAAUGCUUUCCCAACAAGCCUUGUGGACACUGCAGAAAAUGACGCCUGCCAGAAAUCCCAGAAAAAAUGCCAAUCAAUGGUGAGUCAGACCAUUGCUAUAUUGCACUUAGUCUCCAGAGAUUGAGCAAAACAUCGAAAAGAAAAAACUGUCACUUUAAAAAAAAAAAAAAAUUAGAGUAUCUCUCAUCUCUUAAUAUCUUUAGUAUCAAAAAGCUACCAAAUAUAUUUCAAAUGUCCAAUUUGGGAUUACCCCUCUCCCCUGUUUCUUCUCCCCCACCCAAUAAAAAAAAAAUCAUCUCUUUGGUGAUAAAGGGAGAAAUGCUAAGAGCACAGAAGGCUAGAAUAGAGUAAGUCCAACAAUUGAAAUUCAGUCGUGAGUCGCUGAUACUCAUAAAAGUCAGCAUUUCGCUCUAAAUGCUCGUAAGAUAGGAACUUGGAAGUCAACAUCAGAGAAGAGAGGUGUAUGCAGACUAUUGUUCAGAUACAUCUGCGGUCAAGGCAGUAUAGCUGUGGUGAUAACAAAUCGCUAUCUACAUAAUGCUGAGAUGUUACUGAGAAAGUCAAACAACCACCUAAGAAAUAACAAAUUGAUGAAGUAACUCAAAUGGUACAAAUCAAAAUGUGGGGGUGGAGAACAAAAACUCCUUGCUACAUAAAUAAGCAAAUAGGACACAUACAGUAUGGAACAAGUAGCUUGUUGCCUAAAAAGUGCCAUUUAAAAAUGGCAACACAAUAAACUCAUGAAUGAAUGAGAGAUUACCAUACCUUUGUAUGCUGGCCUGACCCCCAGUAAAAUCAGAUGUUGCCUGCCACAGGGUAUGCUUCCUAGGCUGUGGAUUUGUCUCCCUAAAGAAAAGAGGUUGUCUUGCAAGCUACACCAUUUAAAAAAAAAAAAAAAAAAAAACAUGUUUUCACUAUAAAAAGUUCAUAAUAACGACAUACAGUGUAAUUAACAAAGGCACAGUAAGUGUUGUUAAUACCACUACAUCCAAAGUCCCCGGUCCAUCAUCAGGAUAAUUCCCCUUCAAAGCCAUUAUAUCAGACCAUUGAAUUUCAAUCUUAUUCUUGAGCCCGCCAUCAAGAACCUCCCAUACAAGCUUAUGCUUUGCAAAAUAACACUUUGCUACCAAAUCCCCUUCAUAUCUUGACUUAUACUAGAAAUUAGAACAAAGAUAUGCAAUCAAAAUUAACGAAAUCAUAAGCAAUCCAAUAAAACAAGUUUCUAAAAUCCAUGAUCAAAUGCAAAUGUAUAAAUAUACCUCCCAGGUCCCAAUUCGCAGAAUCGUUGCUGGAAAAUUUGAGGCCUUGAGCUUCUCAGAGGAACCAGAAGCAGCGGCCCCUUUAAGCUCUUUUUUACUGGAACUUGCACCCUUAGGUGAAUUAGCUUGAGAAAGCCUCAUUUGGAUCAAUUCCAAAAGGGAAGGACUUUUCCUCAGCCUCAAUCCCAAUGGACUCGGCUCGUCUAAUGGGUUAUACUGAGCCGGCGGUGCCACUGGAAAGCCACCCACUUCCCCAGUUCCCUGCUGCAACAGUCAAACCCCCCGAAAGUACAUCAGAAAUUGAACUUUCCAAUCAUACAGACAAAACCACAUAGAAUAAAACAAGGAAAAAAAACCCAAAAUUCACAUAAACUCCUAAAAACUGAGAGAUGUUCAAGAUCCAAUUAAUUGGAGUUAAUCCGAUUCAAUAUAUAUAUAUAUACAUACAAACUUAAAGCGGAAGACAAAACCCCAACACUUCUACAAGUAUACAUGAGAGAGACAAAGAGAAAAAUUACGAACUUGAAGCGAAGAAGAGUGUUUGGAUCGCUUAUUAAGAGGGCCAUAUUCUUCUUCCAAAGGGUCUUCAAGUUCCCUCUUCACUGCCGCCAUUUCCCCUCUCUGCAACUCGCCGCUUUUCGUCGCCUGAACCAUCAAAUCAGAAAACUACAAAACUGGAAUCGCCCAAAUCAAUAGGAAAACUCACCAAGUCAAAGCAAAGAGUUUGCCCUAAACAACCAAAGAACGACAGAUCUCUCCAAUCUCAAUUUUUCUUCAAAGCUUUGAAUGGAAAUUUCUACUGCUUCGCCUUUAAACAAAGUGGCUGCUAAGAAAACUAGGCGUAAAAAGCUUCUGACGCGACUCACACGUGUCACCAACACGCGCUGCUACUAACCUUGCACGUGCAAUACCCUCACUCUCCACAGCAACCGCGUGCAAUGCAGGGGUAACAAAUGGAGUAAGAGUAGAAAAUGUGUGGUCCAGAUGAGUUCUUUUCCAAUUAUUGAAAAUGAAUUUUGUAAAGGUUUUCUCAAAAUUUGGUCAUUUUGCAAAAGAUAUCAUUGGGUUGCUUGUGCUAGGGGUGGGUAAAAUUAUCCGCUAAUCCGAAAAUCUGUCAUAUCCGAUUCGAUCUGAUCUAAAAAUUAGGAUAAUCGAUUUUUAUUAUUUGAUCGGGUCAAAAGAGGGUCGGGUACCAGCUAAGAUGCGGGGCGGGUUAGAGUCACAUAAUUAAAAAUCCGCGGGUACCCAAUCCGCGCCCGCAUAUAUAUUUUUUAUUUUAUUUUUAUUAUUAUACACAUACUAUAAAAUAAUAAGAACUAAAUAAGUAAUUUUAUUGAACAAAUUGCAAUACAAAUAUGAGAGACUAUAGUUUAUUUACAAGAUUCAUUUGUAGAGGCCAUGAUCUUAUAUUUUAUAGAAAAAGUUUAAUUAAUGUGGAACAUAUAUAUUAAAAAUUGUGCUACUUAUUUCAAACUUUUAUUAAUUUCGAAUUCUUUUAAUUUUUUUCCUUUAUCUUAUAUUUUCUUCACAUGCUUGUUUCUUGGUGGGAAACCUUUUUUUAGAAAAAAAAAUUUAUUAAAUCUUAGAUUAAUGUGUAAAAUAUAAAAUUAAAUUGGUAUAAAUUAUUUUUUUAAAAUUAAAUAAUAAAUUGGGCGAAGCGGGUACCCGCUGAUCCGACCCUAUCUCAACGGGUACCCGCUAAUAUGCGGGACGGGUAAGGGUCAAAAAAUGACUGACCCGCAAGGUGCGGGUCAGAUCAGUCAAAUGGUGAAUGAGGCGGGUACCUGACCCGCUCCCACCCCUAACUUGUGCCUUUAGGUUACCAAAUAAAUAAACUCUUUAUGCAAUACUAUUAAUUUUUACUGCUCAAUUUCAAAAUUACACAAGUUACUUGCUAUCAAUUACAACUCAUAUACGUUUAUAUUACCGCGUCGAAUUUAAAACUUGGCCUUAGACUCUCGCUGAUUAUACUAUGGCCUAAUCUAAAGUAGUUUCUAUCAAAUGUUAUACAAUUUUCAUCAAUAGCUCAUCUUUUUUAAUUCAAGAAAAAUGGCAAACUUUACAAGAGAAGAGAUGAAAAAUUUAGAUCUUGAGAGUCGAAUCAGAGACCCCAUUUUAAUGUCCACUCAGAAUUAGCUCCUUCUAAUUUAGCCUGUCUCUUCUGAUGAUAACAGAUAUAUAUAGUAGUGAAUCCCGCCCGAUUCAUACUUCUUUAGAUUCUGUUUAAAUUAUAUUUUUCAUGAUUUUUUUUAAAAUUUUGUAAAAAUAUUUAAUUUUUUAGAUUACUUUUUACUUCACAUGUAUUACAUCCAAAAAAAAAAAAAUGUGUUAAGUGUAUUUUAUUCUACAAACAAUUACUAAAAAAAAAAAACAUCCAUAGAGGUUCCAAAACCAUGGAAUCCUAUUUCAAGUGUUGGCCUGUCGGGGGAAUAGAAAUUAGAAAGAUCACGUGAGCGCAGUGGAUAAAGUGCGGGGACCGCACAUGAGAACGUUCUGCUCGUCUAGUAGUACAAUACAAUGCAGACAAAUUUAGAGAGAUGGAACGUAGGGAGAUGGUGGAGGUUGGCGGUGGUGGGAUGGUUGAGAUGAUAAUGUCUGUACACGUGGAGAAAUCCAGUUGCGUGUAUUGACACGUGAGCAACCCAAGUGGAUAAUGUUUGUGAGUUAUUAUUGUCUCAUUUUUUGUCCUAUUGCGUAGGUUACGUAAUCCACACGCGUUCGCUUCUGGUACUUGGCGGCGGCAACUGCAUCACGCGCUGUUUCGUUGCUUUCUUUUCAAAAGAUCACGCGCGUGAUGCUCUUUUUGGCUGGCAAGUUUUAUAGUUACUCUCCAAAAUUUGAUUACUGAAAACUAUUGACAUGUGCAGUUUUUGAUUAUGAUAUUGAUGUUGAAUUCGGACAUAAAGGAUAAGAGCAGUAAUUUCUUAAUGGGAAAAAGAAAAAAAAAAACCUCUUGCUUAUCUCUUGCCUUGUGGGCCCUUUUAGCUUCUGCCAUUUUGGGCUCUUGUAGUUUCUAUUUAUGGUUAGAGCAGAUUUUUUGCUUUUAGGACAGCGUCCACUGAGAUUGAUGUUGUUGCCAAAAUGAACGAAUAAAUAAAUAAAUGCUUUUAUCUAAAGUUUUAUAUAAAAGAUUUUAUCCAUUCUUCAAUUCAUCUCAUCAUGCAAUAUAACAUUAUUAAUUUCUUCAAAUCUACUCUCAACUGAGCAAUGUUGUUCUAGCUAUAAUAUAUUACUAAUCUUUUUCACUUCCUUCUUUUUCCCCUUCCAUGACAUCCAAUAUAAUAUAAUAUAAUAGUUGAGAAGAAAAAGUCAUACUACUAGGCUUUGUAGGAGAAGAAUCCUCGGUGGGAGGUCUGGAGUAUGGACCACGUAUAUGCUAAAAGAGGCCCGUUCACGUGCUAAUUGACCCUUGUUACCAGUCGAAGGACCAACACAUUUUCCAAAAUUGAAAAUUUGGGCUUCAAGGCCCAAUAAGUAAUCAACAUCAAGGCCCAACGAAUGUACAUCUUCCAAUCUACAUUUUCUUUAGAACGGUAAAGGCAAAUUGCUAUUGAGUCCUUUGCUGAAAAUUCAUUGAUGUUUUUGUCCACUACAUUUUAUUUUCCUUCACGGUCGCCUAGUUAGUGUUUUUUUUUUUCCCUUACUAGGAAGGGUAGCCAGGAAGGUGGGCUUAGAAGUGCAAAUGAGUCAAGCUUACUUGAGGUGCUGCAAGUUUGGUCGAUCAAAGUUUGAACUUGAACUUUCAUUGAUCGAGUUUGAACUCGAGUUCAAUCUGAUUGAAUUACUUAAUGAGUCGAGUUCAAACUUAAUAUUUGAAGAUUGAAAACUCGUUGAGCUUAAUCGAGUUCAAUCAACCUUCACAUAUAUAUAUAUAUAUAUAUAUUAUUUUUAGGAUAAAAAGUCUAUUUUGUCUUUUGCUUAAAAUUAUAUAAAUUUAUAUUUAUCAAAGAUAUGAUAUGGUCCAAACGAUUUUGUCUCACUUACAUAAUGCAAAGUGAAUGUUAGCUCUUUGCGAGGUGUUGUCCCCUUUUGUUCGGAGAAAAUUGCUACGUUUUCGGUAAAUACAUUUUCCAAUCACCUUUUUACCUUAUAUAUAUCAAAUCGUUUCAAUAAUUUUUCUAUAAAAAAUCUAGAAAAAUGCGAUCCAAACAAAUCUGUCUCCAAAUAUUCUAUUAUUGGUAGUACAAUAGUACUAAUAUACUACUGUUAAGUUAGCCCAGCUGUGGAAAGUAUUUGUUAUUCGGCCAAUUAAUGCGAUUCCAGUGAAGCCACCACAAGUGUUUGGUAUACCCGUGAGCUACUCUUUGCCUAAAUCUUCUCUAAACAUUUAUAAACCUGAGCUGGUUUAUGUUUGAACAAGGAUAAUGCCGGAGAAAUUCCAGACGCAAACAACACAAUUUGUCUAAUUAAUGCAAAAGCCACACGAGCUAAAUAUAUAUAGAUGUAAACAUUCCUGUAGCAGGAAGGUUUUAAAACUUCCUAUGCAUAGCAAAGAGACAAUAAUAUGUGUUAGCUUAGCUAUGUGGGACAUUUUCUCUCUUUUGAGUUGUAAUUCUACUGCUGCAGUAUCAGAGACAAGGAAUUUAAUCCUCCGCUUGUGAUGGUUAAUGUUAUGUCAUGUACAUUUUACUUUUCUUUUUUUUUUCUUCUUUCUUGAUAUAUAUAUAUAUAUAUAUAUUUCUAAGUAUGCGAUUGCAAAAAAAUAUUUCCAAGUACCGUGCAUGAUUAAGGACCAUUGUACUUUAUGUGUAAUCUUUACACAUUAAUUAAUUUGUUAUUGAAUUUACGUGAAGCAAAAACGAAGGGCGCACCCCAGGAGGACGGAAGGUAAUGCAAAUAUUGAUCCUUUUUUUUUUUGUUCUUACGAUAAGUCUUGAUCAAAUAUAUUUCUUCAUCAUUAUGCAUUCUUCUGUUUUAUCCAAACUAAACACAAGAAUAUUUUGCUUUGUUGAUAAGUUUAUCAUAGAAUUUUGCUUGGUUGGAGAAUUUUGCUGAUAUGUUCUUGGCUACUAAUAAAACUUACCUAUCCAAAAAAAAGUAAGGGCAAAUCGUCAAUUUGGUCCCUAAACUUUUUCACUUAAACCAAUUUAGUCCUUCACGGUUUUUUUUCACCAAUUUAGUUCUCAAACAAUUUUAUCAAGUCCAAUGUAGGACUUUUUGGGCGGCGCCACCACAUUUUAUGUAUUUUUCACGGCGGACCAGGGGUAUAAUUGGAAUGACAGGUAUAAUUGUCUAAACACCUUGACUAGAAUGGCAGCUCUGUCACGAUUAGCAAAAGAAACCCCUGCAAAUCGACUUCUUCAGAGCUCAUAGGAAUUAGGGCAGAAACUUCGACAAGCAGAACUGAGGGAGAGACUUCGACAAGCAGGUGAAAUGCAAUCAAGCAGAAAUUUCGACAACUCCGCCUCAAGUUUAUGUAGCAGCCAACACUCAAAUCUGGAUAGUCGAGUAAGUGGGCAUUCGACAAGGGUGAAGGGAGAGAGGGUAGAAUUCUACAAUGGGAAUGAAGCAGUAAUUUGCCAUUGCCGUGAAGAAUGUAGAAUUGUAACUUCAUGGACAGUGACGAACCCAGGCAGAAGAUUUCAUGGAUGUAUAAAUUAUGGGGUAAUUUUUACAAUUAAUCACGACAUAUAACUUGUAUAUUUUGAUGUAUUAUAUAAUUUACUACAACUAAUAGCUGGAAUUAAUGGUCAUUGUAGACCCCAAAAGCCUGCAAUUAUUUUCUGUGGUAUGAUCCACCUAUGCAACAGAUGACAAAAAAUAUGAUGGCGAGAAUUUUGAAGAAUUUGAGGAAAGCUGAGGAAGAAAAUAAUUUCAUGAAAAUUGAAAUGUGUAAGCUUGAAGAAGAGAACAAGGCGCUCAAAAGUGAAAUUAGGAAGUUGAAAGCAGCAAGGAAGUGGCUAAUGCUGGUCGUGGUUUGCAUAUGUAUUAUGGUUAUUGCUGUACUAUUACCCAGUGGCAAUGAAAGGAAUGUCAACUUAAAAAUGCUACAUUAGAUGUUCCUGUAUGAAGUUAGAAGUUGAGUAAUUGCUUCAUGUAAUUUGAAUGCUGUAAUGUUGGAAUGUAGACAUGGGUGUAUGGAACAUGUUUAUGCAUUAAAAUGGAACAUUGUCUUGAAUGAUGUUUUUGUAAAUUAAUCGAGAGAUUUUGUCAGUUGUUGCUGGGCACAUUUACUGAAACGAAAUGGCUAUAAAAUGAUUGAGAGAUUUUGUCAGUUGUUGGGCAUAUUACCUUGAAAGAUGUCUUUGUUAAAAUUUAACAGAGAUUCACCUCAAGUUGUAUAAAAAAUUUGACAGCAUUUCAUCCUAAAUUUCGAUAAUCCCUACUCGCACAAAUACCCCAUAUAAACUGCUAAACAACAAGAAGAAAGUCAAAGUAAAUGGUAUAGGAAGAGUGCGAAUAGAAGUUCAUAGUCAUCAACAUAGGUGCGACAUUGCCAAUAUAGCAGGCUGCAUUUUACUUCAGCAUUGAAUUCGUUUUAGACAAAAUGCAGCCACAUCAAAUGUACAAAACACAAUCGUACCAACUGUUAAUCCAAUUAGUAUCCAUUGACAAAACAGAAGCUCUUAAUGUACAAAACAGAGCAUAUCCCACAAAAUAGAAGUCUGCUGUAUUCCCAAGCUCCAUUAACUUGACUGGGCGACAAUAUCAUCUUCUUCAUCCAACAGCCUAUGUGCCUACACAAAUAAAGGCACAUGUCAAAAGCCAUAAACAGUCUUGUUUUAAGUCAUGUCAAAAUCAUUGUCCAGCAAAUGUGCAAGACAUGCUGUUUGUUUCUGUUUUAAUUACUUGAACUUACUUUCUCCUUUUUCCUAGUCAUUUUUCCCUUUGAUGGAGGGAAUGGACCAAAAACAGUCAUAGCAGCCUUUCUUUUUCUCCAUGCUUGAGCUUGCCAGGUUGCACAUGUUUGCCGGUUAUGUCCUAAGCCAUGACAGAAGGAACACUUGGUGAAUUUCUUUUGCACUUCAGGUAGUUCUUCUUGACCCGAUGGUUGUAAAUCAAUAACCUCUUGUUCAUCUAUAACAGCCUGUGCUUUAUCACCUGACCAUGAAAUAAAGUUAAAACAAGUAACAAGUACAAGAAUAAAAUUAUCAUGAGUUACAUGGAAAAAUCCUAAAUUGCUGACCACUUGGAACAUCUGGCAUUGAGCUAGAUUCCAGAGGUACUUCAGUCGGCUCCUUCCCGAACACUUGAUCUGUACAUGUCAAAGCAUCAUUAGUUAAGUAUUACACCAUAAAUCAGUGGAUGAGGGAUAGGUCAAAUUACCAGAUUUUUGUGGACAAGUUCUCUUGUUAUGGCCAAGUGCCUUGCAUUUGCUACACUUGUUGGAGUUGGACGGUGGUGGCCUUUUAUUGGUAGAUGCACCAAGCUCAUUAGAAGGUACCAGCAGUGGACACUUUCUCACUGUAUGCCCCUUUUGAUAGCAUUUUGUACAUGUCAUUCUAACAAGGCCAGAUCUAGAAAGUUUGGUAACCCCCUUCGAAUUAGGCCUAGGCUCUUCUGGUUCCCUUCUUCUUACUUUCUUUGGCCGACCAGGUAACUUCAACUUCAAGGGUGGUAAGACAGGAUCUUUAUCCGAUUGCACCCAAACAUUUGGACCACUCAAAGGAGCAAUUGCUGGCUCAUAAGCCUUCAAGUAACUUUCUUGCAAGUAGUAAUGGUGAACAAGACUUUCUGGCUCUUGACCUAUUAAAGAAAUACAACAAAUCACAUGGCAUCAUGGCAAUCCAGUCAACUCCUAUCUCCUGCAGCUACAAGUCUGCUGCUUUAAGUCCACCACAUGUUUGCCUCCAUACAUAUGUGUAACCUCAAAUUUAUCUUGAUCAGACCAUCUCGCGAUGUUUGCAGCUGCUUCUGUUUUUGCCUUCUCCAGUUUCUUUUGAAUUUUUGGGCAGAUCUUAUCACUCCUCUUCUUCAUCCACUCCCUUUUUGUACGAAGCCUUUCCAUUAGAUAGAUUCUAAUAGUCUCAAGCAUUCCAAGGAUUGGCUUUUCCCUUGCAUCCAUUAUGACCGAAUUAAAGCUUUCACAUAAAUUAUUAAGGAGAAUGUCACACUUGGCAGCCACUCGAAAGUGUGAUCUUGACCAGUGAUAGGGAGAGGUGUUGUCACUUAACCACUUCCAAGCAGGUACAUCAUAAUCCCUUAAACACUCCAUAUGAUUUUCGAACAUCCUCAUGUACGAUGACCUUGCACAUGUCCAAAAUCUUUCCUUCAAUGCUUCACCCGGAUGAUUUUUUUUGAAGUUGUUGUGCAAGUGCCUUACACAAUGUCUGUGCUCAACAUCUGGAAUGACUUCCUGAAUUGCAGAUCCUAAACCCUGCAAAAUAGACAAAUGCAAGUUUAGCACAAUCAGUAAGCAUUCAUAUAUAUGUAAUAAACAUAUAUAAACAAUGUAAGUUGAUCUUAUUCACCUUCUGUCUAUCACUUAUGAAGCUCCAAUUUCUUUGAUCAUUGAUAGAUAGGUCAUAUUUCAAGAAUUCAAUAAACCACUUCCACGACCUCUUAUUUUCUGCUUCAACUACUGCAUAUGCAACUGGAUAAACACAGUCAUUUGGAUCUAUCCCAACUGCAGUUAAUAACACACCCGGAUGUGGACCUCUCAAGUGGCAACCAUCAACUCCAAUUAUCUUCCUACAACCAGAUUUAAAUCCUCUCUUUAGUGCCUCGAAGCAAAUGUAAAGUCUCUGAAAUCUUUGUUUUUCAGAAUCUUUAUCUAAUGUAGUUUCCAUAUACACUGUAGAACCAGGAUUUGCCUUCAUUAGUUCCUCACAAUAAUCCCACAAUCUGUUGUACUGAUCUUUGUAGCUCCCAUGGAUCAAAAUUUUUGCCUUCAUGAAUGUCUUAUAAACUUGAGGUUUAGUAAUGUUUACAUUCAGCUCUGCAUGUACCUUAUCCUUGAACUCAGAAACUGUUAUUCUCUUGUUCAUCCUUAGGAAGUCCACAUAUUUUCUUGCUAAGAAACCUGAGGUAGCUCUCUUGUGGUAAAAGGUCCUGCCACAUGUGUGUGCUGGACCCAUUGUCUUGAUUGCAAUGGAAUCAUCACCUUCAUCAAUUUUAGAAGCAAACAACAUCCACUUACAAUGUUCAGCUUUGCAUUUCACCCUCAUUCUAUGCUUAUCAUGCUUCACCCACUUUAUAUCCUUCCCCCAUUUGACUGCAUAAUUGUCAACUGCCAUCUUGAAUAGCUGCUUAUCAUCAAAUUGUUGACCAACAUGAAAUUUUGGAUCAUUCAUGUCCAUUUCUGGUCGGAAUCUGACCAGUUUGGGCUUCUUCCUUGUGCUAUCUUCAUCGGAGGAAUCAGUCACACUAUUUAGGUCAUCUGACACCAUCGAAUCAGAUUCCUCAUGAACUGGAAUCUGAUCUCCUUCAUCAACGUGUAGGUGUGAAUUAGAAGUUGCUUUGACUCUGAUUUUUUUUUUAUUGGGUGCUGCUGCCUGUCUUGCUUCUUUCUUUGCCUUUCUGUUUCUACUUUGACAAUUUCCUGUUGGCAAUUUAUCCAUUGCAGCACCUAACUCCUGAUAUGGAGCCACAACUGAAGUUCGAAAAAUGACAUCAUCAUCAUCUUCACUGAAAUCAUAGUCACUAUCAUGGAACUUUUCACCCUCCAUUGAGUCUGAGUUUACAGCAUCAUUAGCCUCAUCCGCAUCACCUUGUUCUACUUCAGCAGCCUGACAAGUUUCCUGGUUCUUCUUCUCAAGCUCUUUUAUUUUCUCCACAUGAACAGGAAUUUCCUCUAUGUCAGCAACAUCAACAUCCUCAAAUGUUAUGUCUACAAAGAAGUCAUCUUCUUCUUCUAUUUCUGUAGCAUUACAACUGUUUGAUGCAACUGCACUCUCACAUUUACUAUCUAUCAAUCUAAUGUGAAACUCAGAAACAACAUAAACUUCUGCUUCUCCAUUUUGCUUGCCUAUACAAGCCAUGUCAGUUGCUGCAUCAUCAGAAUCUAUUUUUCUCAACACAAGUCCACCACCUUCAGUUGGAAUUCUAUACAUCAUUGUUACAUUUGCAGGAUAUCCAAGAUAAUAGCAAAAGUCAGAUACAAUUGCUCUAUUCACUCUCAUGGCAAUGACACCUUCAAAACUUUCCAUGCUGCCCCCCAAAUAUUGCUCUACGGGUUCUUUAACAUAUACACCCCCAUGAUAGAUUUUCAAAGUAAAAAAUUCAACCUCUUGUCCUGCAUUUUUUUAAACCACAAAAAAGACUUAAUUAAUAACAACAUCCUGGUAUGUUAUAACCACAUCUGGGACCACAUCAGAAAAUUCAACCGCAAAAGUCAGAUCUGGGACCACAUCAGAACAUUCAAGUGUGCUGUUGUUUUCCUACUACUUUGUCUCGCUUUUUAAAACAUGAAAAUAACAGCACACUACAUUUUAGAACUACAGGGACCACAUCACCAUUAAAAAAAUUCAGUUUUAAAUAUGGCAUAUUUCACCAUCCCCAGAUCUGCCUAUGACCCACGCAGAAGACAUUUUUAAAAAAACACGUCAACCCCACAAUGUACCAUAUUCCACUAAUUAAUCGCCCACAUGCUUAACACUGUCAUUAAACAGAGAAGAAAAUGUUCAACUACUUCAGCCCCACAUACAACGACAAAGUACAAACACAUUAGCUUUAACAUUCUGAUGAAAAGGUUAAACUAACAUGCAGCAGCUCAAACAUCAAUGAAAAGAUUAAACUAACAUGCAGUUGCUCAAACAUCAAACAAGCAUAGCAGAAAAUGGAGAAGCUAAGUAAGAUCUGGUUAAAGCUUACUGGAUAGUGUUGCUGCAACUGCUUCCUUUUCACCAUCCUUGUCGCCAUCGACACCUUCCAUCAUCGAAGACACGGAUCUGCUCAUCUUUUGUUGGCAAUCACAUUUUCUUACAUUUUGAUCAGAAUGCCUAAUUCCUAUGAGCUCUGAAGAAGUCGAUUUGCAGGGGUUUCUUUUGCUAAUCGUGACAGAGCUGCCAUUCUAGUCAAGGUGUUUAGACAAUUAUACCUGUCAUUCCAAUUAUACCCCUGGCCCGCCGUGAAAAAUACAUAAAAUGUGGUGGCGCCGCCCAAAAAGUCCUACAUUGGACUUGAUAAAAUUGUUUGAGGACUAAAUUGGUGAAAAAAAACCGUGAAGGACUAAAUUGGUUUAAGUGAAAAAGUUUAGGGACCAAAUUGGCGAUUUGCCCAAAAAGUAAAACAUUUUUUUUGGAAACAUUAUUGUAUUUGCCUGGAUCUUAGAAAGGUCCAGGAUAGAGAUAGGGCCUCAGAAUACUACUGUUGUUUUCCUUAGUUACAAACUUACACAAGAAAAGACACUAACAAAGCUGGAGUUUUGCUGAGUGACCAUAGGCAAGGAUUGAGGUGGCCUACUUUGUAAUAGUAGAAGAGGAUAAGCACCAUAUGCAUCUCUCCCUUUCUCUCGCAAUCUAAGCUUAACAUCUUUCCCUUUCUCCAUUCUAUUGUUUGUUUGUAAGCUGCGACAGUUGAAUCCGUGAAGGAAUGAGUCCUUAUCCAUGGAAGCCUCAACGAACCAAUAAAAAUCUUUGCAAAACAAAUUUUAGAAAAAUGCUCAAACAGUAGCUCGUGAAAAUUGAAGUCCCAUUCCAACCCCAUAAAAUAAACACAGAAGAGAAGACUUGCUUUGUUUUUCUUUUCCUACGCUUAUGCACGUGAAUUCCCAAUAAUUUCUCAUGCAAAAGUGGGUCCUAAAGCCAGCCUCGUAUCUUUUGUUCUUAAGCCAAAUUCCAACUCUCAAGAAUCUCUCCACUUCUCCUCUUCUCGUCCCUCCUCUCUGUCUCAUCAGUCCUUCGUGCCUCCUUCCCACGUCCUUUGAUCUGUUAAAUAUUUCUAAUUGUUUUGUUUCUCCUUCAACAACUGCACCGGGAUAUUGGCAGAAAUCUAGAUGGCUUCUUGCUCAUCGUUGGUGCUUGUAGCUGUUAUUCUACUUCUUAGCACUAAUACUCGUGGAGUUUUCAGUAGCUACGGAGAGAAGGAAGUCCUUUCUCUGAAAAAGCUUCAAUGGUCACAGAGAAGUAGCAAAACAAGUUUUUUAUCGCAAAAAUCAAGUGAGUAUGUGAAAUGAUGAAUGCUAAUAGAUUCUUUAAUUGUGAAUUGUAACUUCGUAGCUUUAUGAACUCCUUUGGGAUCCGUUUUCAUGCACUGUAGUUUCUUGAAAAGCCAUAAGAUUCUUUCUCUGUCUCUUCAGUCUGAAGAGACUGGACUGGACCGCAGCAGUAGUACUAGUAAAGUAGUGGAAUUCAGCUGUAAAGAGCAAAGAAAAAGCUUAGUUCUCGAUUGUGGUACAGUUUUAGGCUAUGUUAACUGUUUGAAGUUGGCUAGAAUUGCUUCAUUGCCCCCAGAACUGAGAUUUAUUUGCAAAUUGUCUAAAUUAUGGACGCCAACAGAAAGGAAAGCCCCGUACGUACAUUCUUUCUCCUUGUUUAGAAUGGAAAAUUCAUUUCUUUAUAUAGAACUUAUACUGCAAGCUCAAGGUUCCUUUCAAGUAUAAAUUUUCUUCAUACGAAAAUGUCUGUAGAAUAAAUAAUACCUUUGCUUUUGCAGGAACGGAGAAUGGUGCAACUAUUUUGGAAAUGAGGCACAGAGAUUGCUUCUCUGGAAUCAUAUCUGACUGGAAUCAGAGGCUCCAAAAUUGGCUACAGGCCGAUAGAAUUCGAGUCAAGUCAAUACAAGCUCAAAUUAAAAUCUUGGCUUCCGGCAAAACUGAAGCCCACUCCCAAACUCGGAUUCCCAUUGCUUCUGGUGUAAAUCUGCAUACCCUAAACUAUAUCGUGCCUGUGACAGUAGGUGGCAGAAAUAUGACAGUAAUUGUUGAUACAGGCAGUGAUCUGACAUGGGUUCAAUGCCAACCUUGCAAAUUAUGUUAUAAUCAACCCGAACCUAUAUUUGACCCCUCAUUAUCAUCUUCAUACCAUUCAAUUCCUUGCAAGUCAUCAGCCUGUCAGUCUUUGCAAUUUGCCACAGGCAAUUCAGGACUCUGCGGAGGUGAUGCAGGAACAUGCAAGUAUGAUGUGAGCUAUGGUGAUGGAUCUUAUACUCGAGGCGUUCUGGGCAGCGACCGCCUAAUACUUGGAACCAUCCCUGUUGAGAACUUUGUAUUUGGCUGUGGAAGAAACAACAGAGGCCUCUUUGGGGCUGCUUCAGGUCUAAUGGGGCUGGGAAGGAGCGAUCUUUCCCUGAUUUCUCAAACUUCUGAUGUAUUUGGAGGUGUUUUCUCCUACUGUUUACCUACAACUGAUGUUGGUUCUUCUGGUUCGCUAAUAUUAGGUGGUGAUGCUUCAGUUUACAAGAAUUCUACACCGUUUUCGUAUACUAGAAUGGUUCCAAAUCCACAGCUGGUGACAUUCUACUUUCUCAAUCUCACUGGAAUUACUGUUGGCGGGGUUGCUACACAAGCUCCAAGUUUUGGUAAAGCUGGGAUUCUUAUUGAUUCAGGGACAGUUAUUACGAGGUUGCCUCCAUCAAUUUAUGAGGCUGUGAAGACCGAAUUCUUGAAACAAUUUUCAGGGUACCCUACAGCACCAAGCUUUUCAAUCUUGGACACUUGCUUUAAUCUUUCUUCAUAUGAUGAAGUAGAUGUUCCCACGGUUAAAAUGCAGUUUGAGGGUGAUGCUGAGCUCACUGUGGAUGUCACUGGAAUUGUUUACAUUGCAAAGAGCGAUGCAUCUCAGGUUUGCUUAGCUCUUGCAAGCCUGACUUUUGAAGAUGAGAUUGGUAUUAUUGGCAAUUAUCAGCAAAAGAAUACAAGAGUCAUAUAUGACACUAAAGAGUCUAAAUUGGGAUUUGCUAAAGAAUCUUGCAGUUUCUAUUAGAUUAGAUGGCCUAGAGGCUGCUGGUGGGGAGAGCCAAACAGCUAGUUGGCUGCUAUGAAGGAGAUUAGCCAUUUCUGUUUCAGUCAUGUAUGAUAUCCAUGAUUCCUAAUUAUUGGGAAUGGUAUAGGUAGUGUAAUUGUAUGAAAAGCCACUUGUAUUUGCUGAGCGUCCAAGUGUAAUAUAUGACACUAUGAAAUGUAGCUAGGGUUCUGGAGGCAAAAAGCUUCAAGUGCAUAUCGGUUUUCUCGACCGAGACUAUCCAUAGCGGAGACUUCUCGACCGAGUUCUCGGUGACUUGGCCGAGUUUUCGGCGAGUCAAGUAUCUCGAAAUCAUUUCGUCCCGAUAUCAUAUCGGAGGGGUCUAUUCCGAUAAUGGCUCGGCCGAGUCGUCUUGGUCUCGAUCAAGACUUUGAACCAUGCUUACACCUAUGCAAUUAUUAUAUGGAAAUGCGAUUUUUACUACCCGUCUAUCUCUUUGCUGGAAGGACAAAAUGACUACAAGUAUAUGAAAGUAAUGCUAAUUAGACUUUGAGCAUAGGAAUUUCCAAAGUUUAUAUCUGGAUCACCGGAGUGUGCUGGUAAAUGUGCAAACAUCCAAAAUCUGCAGUAUCUUCCACAAAUUCCAAAUCUAGCAAACUUAGACCACAAAUCCGAGAGCAGGAAUAUAAGAAUAGUGUACGAAUUAAGGCAGACAUCGGUGCAAACAAUGCCAGCGGGAUUUGGAUUGUUUUUUGGCUAUUCAGAGGUCUCAACAAGAAUGCCGCCAAAUAAUCUUGGAAAAACCAACACUUUUGCAGUGCUAAAAUAAAUGAAAUGGGAAUAUAAAAAGUAUUAUAUCAGAGAUUCUUAACACGAAUGACCACACACAAAGCUCAUCUUUGGAAAUGCCUCGUAGACAGAGCAUAUGAUUUCUCGUUCAUGAAAUGGAGCAACAAACAAUACAUAUUAGAAGUUGAAGGCACAAUCACUUGCCAAAUUUCUACCUGAUCUUGAUACCCUCCAGCCAGAAUUUGAGGAUGGUUAAAUCCUGGCAAGACUGCCAAAUUAUCUUUAUCAGCAGUCAAUUAAGCAAGUUUCCUUCACUGAAUCACUUUUGUAUCAAUGGCUUCCAGCCAAACUGCUUAAAUAAUGAGAUAGCUGAAAACUUGAACCAGCAGAAAGUCAAGGACGUUAUACACUACUGUUAUCAUAUGAGUAGCAUUUCUUCUGUCCUACUUCCCAAAAUAUUUCAGCAAACUUUGAUGUGAAGAUAUCAAAAAGAUUUGGAUCUUGCCCAUAUGAUAUGAUCUCUUGUCCGGCAGAAGCCGUUGGGGCUGAGAGCGUUCGCGGAUAAUCAAUUGCCUUGGGCAGGUCCAAAGCAAAUAAAAUGCAGGGAUGAAUAAAGGAACAGAUAGAUACAAGUUCAUUCAGCAAAAAACAAGUUUAAUUAAUUUGGAUCGCAGCUUUUGAAGCCUACGCAGCCAACAUUCCGUUAAUGCAAUUCCAACAAAUUACAAAGAGCAAUUUAUUUACCCUUGAAGGAAAUUUGCUCAUUUACUAAACACGAGUGUCGGUUCAAGCAUACUGCUAAUUCUGGUGGAUGCAAGAUGGAAUUAUUAUUAUUAUUUUUUAAAUAUUUUUAGUAGAUGUGUACUGAGAAGGGUAGAAAUUACAUCAUAUAAAUAUUUCUGAUAGAUCAAGUCAAAACCAGAGCAAUUAACAUAAUUGCCAGUGUUGUUUUCACCUCCAAGUGGUUUGCAUUAACUAAUUGACCCAUUAGCCAAAAUACGAUGUAUUGUCACUCCUGGUCCGAAAUAGUAACGUUAAAUAAGUUAUUUAAUGUAUUUAUGAAUCACAACUACAAGUAAGUAUACAUGCGUCCACACAUCCAUGUGCUACACAUACUACCUGUCGCUAUUACUAGGUUGUUAAGAAUUAUACACUUCCUUAUCAUCUAAAAUAAAGAUCCAAGGAGAGGCAGGAAAUUCCUGCAUAAGCACACUCAAUUUUUUUUUUUUUUUAAAAGUAUGGUCCAUGCAAUUGAUUAAACACCAACGGAAACUAACUCUUUUUAAGUUUCCCCAUAUACAGUUUAUCGCUUUUGAGGACGAAGGUAUGGUUAACCGACUGUGUAUCCCCAUAUACAGUUAAACAAAUCAACCGAAGAAUUAUGCCGGCUACAGUCCAGAAGUAACACGCACGCGCCGAUCUACGCUACCUAGCAAGAAAUCACCUACUGCUAAAAUAUACUACCACAAACUGCAAAACAUCAGACUUUGAGGUUUGAAUUCUCGUUAUUGACAAUAUUCGUCUGCUUGGCUGUAGAAUCUCCAAUGUCUGCUUCUUGCGACAAUCUAAACUUUAGAAUCUUGUGAAGUUGUGUUAUUGGCUUGACUUGCUUAGUGGGGGCACGCUUGUUGUCUACUAUACAUCUUCCGGUGAAAAGGUUGGCUUCAGAUGGGCCUGUUUCUUGAUGGAGCUCAGGAGCAGCAUCUACAAACAUAACUCAGUUUUAGUAUACUAUAGGAAGAGGUGUUCAAUACAUGUAUUCUUCCUAAGAUUUUUGCUAAGAAUGAUACAAAUUUAAGAUGCUGGAUAAAUAAUCAACUGUGUAACACGAAGAAAUUCAACAUUUCAAAGUCCAAAAUGUGUCCAAACUUGCUCGUAAAGUUUCAUCUACUCGUUCAGUGGUAACAGGGCAGAUAUUCUUCUUAUUCCUCGUUCUCUGCCCCAGUACUUACAUGAAGUCCAGAAUGACAAAUGUAAAGCAAGCGAAAAAUAGGAAAUUUUAGAACCCAUAGCCAGCUGAUUCUUUAGAGUGGGGCAAUUUGGCCAUCAUUUCAUCUACAACUUUUAAUCCAGUCCCCAAAGAACUAACCUGAAAGCAACUCAAGGAUCACCAAAAAUUCCAUUUCAAGUACUAGAGCAGUCAUUGUAAGUUACAUUGAAAUGAAGGGCACAAUAUUCGUUGCAAGAAAUGAAGGGUCUUGACCAUGGUGGAAGAUUGGUUAUUGACCUGUAUGCCAACCACUUAGACAACUACAAGCAAGAAUCAUCAGAAGACAAAAAUCCUAAAAAAUUUUGGUUGGAAUUCCGUUGUGCCAUUCAAAGCAUAAAAUCUCACUCAGCCAUCAUUUAAGAUACAGUAAUAGGACUUCAGCAAACUUACAUCAGAGCUAAUUAAAGUUGCAAAGUGCGUCAAAUUUGAAGUGAAGGAGGAGAGUAAGCUAAAGCAUUUGACUGAUGAGUUUAAAGGUAAAUAAGGGAUAAUCGAAAUUCAUUGGUCUAAUGAAGAGGUAUGGAGCCUUCUCUGCACUUCUAUGUCCAAACACACUUUUUUCAAAUUAAAAUAAAAAAGGACAAAGAACAGGGAGGAUUACAUCUUACCACAUUCGCUAAAAACAAGGCACGUCCCAAUUGUUUCUUCAUAUUCACCUAUCUGAGAAAUAAAAGAGUAGUGUGACGUGAAUACAUCAAAUACAAUGUAGUUUUCACCACCCAAACCAAACAAAUUCCAGAAAAGCUUAACACUCACCAGUCUAAAUUUCUCGUCGAUGAUCAAAGUUGGAUUUAGUGUGUCUAAACCCUGCAUAAAUUAUCAACCAAAGGUUAGACAUCACAUAGCAAAAGCCGGAACUGUAAAUCAUUUAAAAAAUUCCAAACUGCACCUAAAAAAAAAGCAAUUUAGAUAUUGAAACAAUUUUGAGCAUUCAGAAUUUCAAUCAGACUAAAUAACAAAACCAGAAAACACCGUAUCCACCUCUCCAGGAGCAGAAAGAAUAAACAUGAACCAAAAAGAUAAACAGACUGCAAAAGUUAUAAACAUUGGAUAAACCAGCUUUACAAUAUAUCUUCCAAAAUUCCAAACUUUUUGCUUCUAAACAUGGUAGCUUAAACAAGAACAGAAUAGAUGACGGACUUCGCAUUUACCACAACAGAAGCAGAAAAAGAACCAUAUUUAUAAUCAAUCAAGCAAUUUUACAGCACACACACACACAAAGAAAAUGACAACAUGAAAUUUAACAAUAUACUAAUAAGAAUAAAAAUUAGAGUUUGAGAGCGAGGUUGAAGAAAUAUUACAGAGAGAACAUAGGGAGCAUUGGGAGGAAUGUGAACAAGGUCCGUCACAGCAUCCAGAUUUAUCAAUACGUACUCUUCUUCCUCCACCUCUUCCUCCCUUUUAUCAUCCUGGUGCCAUCUUAUAUUGUUGUCUUCCAUCAUUAAUUUGAUUUUUAGCUGGAAAUAGCAUCAAUUAUUUCAGAGUAUUACUCUAAUCGCAUAAUAGUUAUAAUAAAUGAACAUAAUAUAAAACUCACGUUGAUGAAGCUGCCAAAACCAAAACCCCAGGACCCAAAACCCCUAUUAGCAUCGAAAGAUUCGACAUUUAGUAAAGAAAAUCAAAUUUCCCAGAAAAAACACUUGCUUAGCUUGGAAGGUUUUGUGAAACCUUGAUAAAGAGCAGGGAAAGUAGAGAUUCGAAAUUACUCAUACCCUUUUCGGCUCCAGGAGACUGAAAAGGGAAAAUAAUUCCUCAGGAAUGAGUUUUCUAUGUUUGGCAAAUAUGCAAACUACUAAGGAAAGAAAGUAAGUGAAAUUGCUAAGGGAAGUGUUCGCAUAAUUUGCCUAGAAUAAGAGAUAAUCAGCUUCCACACAAAAACGUGCGGAAACGGUGGAGAAAGAAGCCUAGAUGGAUCAACACGCAUAUCUUCAAGUAAAAUGAUAGAAUCGGAUCAGUUGUUAAGGAAAGUUACCCUCUCUUUUCUUUUCUGCAACUCACCGGACAGAGGAAGGAAGAGAGAAAAGGAGAGAGUCGCGUGAUUGGAUGACUACUGCCCGGAAUUGUCGCCGUCUCCGACUCUGGCGCCGCGUGGAAUUGGGUAGAAUAGUGGCUGCGAUGGACGUUGGUGGGGAUGGGGCUUUUUGGGCCGAGAAACGAUGGAGAAGAAAGCAGUUUCAAAAAUUUUACUUUAGCCCCAAAUCUUUUGUUCUAUGUGCUCAACCCCCUCCAGAGUUUUAUAUCACUGGACUUUACUUUUUAAUGUUACAUGUUGGCCGGUCAAUUUUUUGAGAAAUAAUUACAUUAAAUAACUUUUAUUUUUUUGAGAAUGAACAUUAAAUAACUUCUAAAUAGGUUUGACCAAGAUUAAUUCAAGUCAAAUAAUUGUUGCUUUAUAACUUUGGUUUACCGUUUUUUUUUUUAACCUCCCAUCCCUACUUGACCCUUCCCAGCCACAUUCAAUGGAAACCUGACCGCGAUAGAAUCUCUAAUAGCUGUUGUUUUAUAGUUUCGAAUUUUUAACCUUCAAUCCCUCUUUGGAACUUUCCUACCCACACUUGACAAAACCUAACAGCAACACAGAAACUCUAACAGUUUUUCCAUAAUCACUGGCUAGUGAUUUGCAGUUUUAAAAUAAUUAGGUUGUGUUUGGAUUGCAUUUUCCGUUAUCUUUUAUGAAAAAAUUACUGUAGCGAUUUGAUAUAUGUGAGGGAAAAAGGUGAUAGGGAAAUGUGAUCACGGAAAACGACAAUAUUUUCCGACGGAAACAAGCAAUCCAAACAAGGCCUUAGAAUUGAAAUCUCAAAUUCUUGCUCAUAAUGGCUAGCUUAUUUUCAAUCUUUUUGACAAUAAAAACAAAAAAAUUGUUAAAAUUCGUUUGAGGCUAUUCAAGUUUUUCGUCGUCCUUCCUGUUAGGGUGCUCUUAUGAAAUUUUCAUGAUCCUCAAAUCAGAUGCUCCUCUAUGGCGCUACAUGUGAAUCCCGCUAAUAUGGCAAAAGCCUUGUACGUGCUAAUAUGGCUCGUGCUUUUUGAUUUGGAUGCCAUCAGUAAUAUUAACCGAUGGAUUAGUCUCCUCGCUACUUCACUCUCUUCUAUCUUUAUUGUCUCCGCUUACUUUUGUGUUUGGAGGGCGUACUGUUGUAUUUGGAGGGGAGAAAUGUGUAUUAUUAUAUACUAACAAAAGGAGCUAAAUGAUAAAUAGUUUUGGUCCGCACGUAAAGUUAUUAAAAAUUACAAUUCAUGUCAAAACAAUAAUAAUAUUUUAUAGAUAAAAUUAUAUAAUAAAAAGCAAAAGGAUUCAAAGGAGUGUACACUACGACAAUAGGCUACAUGUUCAAAAUAGAGAGAGAAAAAGAAAAGAAAAGAAAAGAUAAAAUAGAUAUUCGUGUUUCAUAUAUCAAAAUUUAUAAUAUAAAAGAUAAAAUAGAAUUGAUUCAUUUAAAAUAAUAAAUAAACAAACAAAUUUGAGCCGUUCUUUUGGUUUUACUCUUUCAAACUAAACUUAGCUUUGCAUUUUCAAAGUAAAAGCACCAAGUUUAAAGUGAUGUCAAAUUUUCAAAGGACAGUUUAUAAUUGAAUCCGUGUUUAACUUCAAAAUUGAAGAGGUCAACUUUAAAGUGAAAAAGAAAAAUCUCAUAACAAUUCUUGCAAUUUGGUUUACGUCUUCAAAAUAUAAUACUUAACUGACCUUUCAUAAUAUAAAAAUUAUAUUAAACCAAAAAACUGAUCACAAUAGUUUCAAGUGUAGGCACCUGAAAAUGCAAAUAAAAAUUUGAUACUAUUGUAUAACAUCCUUAACAACUACAAAAAUUUUAAAAAUACUUAGAAUAUAAAAAUGACAUGGUGGUGUUACAUAUUUACAUAUGAAGAAAAUAAUAAAAAAUAAAAAAGAAGAAAAGAAUAAGAAUAUACAAAACAAUCAAAAAACUCUAGGAUGUUCUUAGUCAUUGGGUUUUAGGCUCUUCUUCAAGCCUAUCAAGGUCAAAUUUGGGUAAAUAUAUACAAAUUAAGUAGGUGUAGUUUAGGUUCAAAUAUUUUAUAUCUUUUCUUAAAUUAUAUUGUUAUUUCCUUUUUAUUUUUGGUAAGACUCAUUUUAUUUUCACUUUAUUUUUCAUCAAAAAUAAAUAUCUUAAAUUAAAAUUUUCAUGUUUGAAGGGCCAGUAGAAUUUAUUUUUAAUUUAAUGAUUUCAAAAUCUAGGCUUUAUUAAUGGUACCAUUAUUUAUUCGAUUUGGUUAACAAGGCACUUGUUAAGAGCAGUUUUGAGUGUUUAUUUUUUAUUUUUUUAAAAAAAAGUAUAAUUAAUUUGGAAGAGUGUCUAGAUACAUGGGGAUAAGUAACCAAUAUCAAACAUAAGCAUAUUAUAUUUUGGUAAGGUUGAUAAAAAUUGAAAUUCACAUUGCCGAAGAAUCCAGCCUGCAUCGUUCUCAAUCUAUGGGCAUAAACAUUCCUCUUUCUAUAGGCCGACUACAACCUAAACUACAUUACAAAUAACCAUGCUUAGAACGUAUCCAGAAAACCAACCAAGGUAGUAAUAAUAAUAAUAAUAAUAUAAACAGCAAUUCUCAAUUCAUUCAUCUAAUACGGAAGUAGUAAGAGAGUUUGGAAUUUGAAUUCGAAAUAAUGAUAAGAUUAGUUAUUUUAAAGAUUUAUUGAAUUUGAUGUAGUAUUAAAUUGGAGGCAGAAAAGGUGUAUCGGUUUUAACUCAGCAUGUAAAUCUAGGCUAGAAAAUUGCAACCUACAUCAAUUCAAUUCUUAGGUUACCAUAUAUUUCUCCUCUCUUCAAUCAAAAUUUAAAAACAGCUUAACCCCACCAGCAAGAGCCAAGAGGAGGAGCUAAGCAAUAUAACCACCAACUCACUAGCAAAACAAGACAAUUCAGAAGGAAACCAAGAAAUGUACUCCCCACACCAAACCAAACCCGCUCAUAGACGGCCGUACUAACUACUAACUAUCCACCCUUUUUCCUCUGCCGGCUUUCUGGUUUUCUCCUCUGAUUUGCCACCUCGCUCUCUUCCAAAUAAUCCAAAUAAUCUUCUCUCGUCGCCAUUUUUUUUUUCGUCCCUUUCCACCCUUUAUAUCCCUCACAUCUGAUCUGAGGAGGACCAAGUCAUUCUAAAUAGUUACCAUUAUUUCAUUACUAGCUAUAGUUCAUUGGUCCAUUAUUAUUCCUUUUUUCUAUCUUCCUCCUCCUUUAUAGCCUUUAAUCUCUGCACUCAUCAGAGCGAUCUUUCCUCAAUUUUUUCGUCCCUCGAGGUGAACUAUCUAAUCUUCCUUAUUUCAUGGCGAAAUCUUCCAAGCAGAAAACAAGUUCCACUACCACCACCACCACCACCAGCAUUGACGCCGAUAAUAAUAAUAGCAGUAACUCUACUACUCCCGUUGUCAAAACCACCAAAACUAAGCGAACCCGCAAGAGCGUGCCCAGAGAUUCUCCACAGCAACGAAGUUCUGUUUAUCGGGGUGUUACCAGGUACUGUAAAUAUAUGAAAGUGGUGUGGUGAUCAUCUUUCCAUAUAUAACCACGGCUUUUCUUUUCUUCUUUUUUGCCUUUCUUUAUCGAAUAAAAUUAAAGGGUUUCAUUUUACCACCUAUGCUUGCUGCAGACACCGGUGGACUGGCCGGUAUGAAGCUCAUUUGUGGGAUAAGAACUGUUGGAAUGAGUCGCAAAACAAAAAAGGAAGACAAGGUUUUCUUUUUUUCUUUUAAUCACAGCACUAUUUAGGAUGCAUGUUUUAACGUCUUUGUUUUAAUUAGUGGAGAGUGAUUAACGUGGGGGUUUAAUGUUUUCCUUUUUGUUGGGGUGUUUCUGUUGACCGGUGUUCACGGUGGACUGCAACAAAAAAUGCAGUAUAUCUUGGUAAGUAGGUUUCCAUCUUUAUCAGCAUUGUCAUAUAUUCUUUAAUUAUCACUAAACCUCAAUUCGAAUUCUGAAAAGAAAUAUUACUGUACAAUAUCGGUUUGAAAAGGUCCACUCUUCUUGCGCUCAUAUAUAUAUAUAUAUGAAAUAAGAAGAAAAAAAAAAAAAAAGAGUCACUACGUGGAUACAAGCAAUAUUGUACAAGUGGAUGUGGAUGCUCCAUGAAUCGGGCUUUCUUUUUUUUGGCUGGCAGGAGCUUACGAUGAUGAAGAAGCGGCGGCACAUGCAUAUGACUUGGCAGCAUUGAAGUACUGGGGACAAGACACAAUUCUCAAUUUUCCUGUAAUCUAUAAUUCAACUUGCAAAUCUUUUUUUUUUUGCCCCUUUUUGUUGAAGGAAUUUAUACUGUAAGAUUUUAAAAGACUUGAAUUUCUUUCUGUUAGAUAAUCAUAGCGGUUUUGCUUGAUGUAUGUAGCUCUCGACGUAUGGAAAUGAGCUCAGCGAAAUGGAGGGUCAGUCUAAAGAAGAGUACAUUGGAUCAUUGAGAAGGUACGUUGUGUACAAACGCAGUUGCCAAUAGGAUCACAAAUUUCCUUUAAAUGUCAUGGCCCUUUUUUAUUUUGAUGCAAUGUCGGAUAUCAACUUAAUUUGAAGAAUCUGUUUUGGCAGAAAAAGCAGCGGGUUUUCGAGGGGUGUCUCUAAAUAUAGAGGAGUGGCCAGGUAAAAUUAGUUUGUUUCUCGAAGGGAAUGAUAUUAUAUUAAUUUUCGCAUUUGAUGAGCAUGGUUCACUUACCAUCAAGCAAAAUAAAAGACAUGAAUCCCGCCUGUGAUUAAGACACAUAAGUAUGUUUCUCUCCUGAAAUUAGCACCUACCUAUCAUUUUUUUUUUUGGAGUUUUGUUUAACUGAUGCCCAGCGUUAAAAUUGACUAAACGUACCGUGUAAUUAUUACCCUUCCUCGCAUUUAUAUACUUUUUCCAGUUAUUUUUACUUACAUUCCUUUGUAUUUAUUUUAUUUUUUCUAAUUAAGAGUAUUAUCUUUUAAACAAUAUGACACGUGAAAUAAAUCGUAACCAGUAUCCGUUGGCACCCGUUAGACAGAUUUUUUUUUUUUUUUAUAAUGUACCAAAAUCCAAAUAUUUGUUGUUCAUAUCACAACUUAGUAUGAGGUGGGGUUUAUACUGAUACAUACACGGGAAAUUGCUGUACUCCGUUAAUGGCAAGGCCCCUCCAUCCAGUUCAUUUUAAAAGCCAGCCGGUUCUGGUGAAGUAAACUUCUUAUUAUAACUUCUGGGCAUCAUCCAGCCACAAAGUGGUUAGGAAGACGUAAAUUUAUGACUCUUGACUAAUUGAUGCUGGACCAAUGAUACAAAGUUGUCAAAGUAGUGCUUAGGUAUCCAUCACCCUUACUUGCCCAAUUGACAUGCAUCAUGCAUGCCAAGUCUGAUCGGUUCUCAUCAUUUUCAUGCAAUAGCACAUCAGUCAGUCCACAGAUCUGGUAGAAUUGAGAUGGAACUUUUUGGGAUGAUCUUCUCUCACAUUUUAGCAUUAAAUUCUGGCGGUGUUGAUUGCGCAGACACCAUCAUAAUGGGAGAUGGGAGGCCCGAAUAGGAAGAGUCUUUGGCAACAAGUACCUUUACCUCGGAACAUAUGGUAACUCUUUCCAUCUUGCCCUUUGUUUACCCUCUGUUGGCUGGUAUAUUUUUUAUGCCAAAAAUGCUCAUUGCCUCCUUCCACCAUAAGGACAAAUCUAACUAAAAAUUUUCGUGGUUUUUUGAGUGUUAUUCUUCUUCAUUUCUUGGUUUAAGAGCUAGAUUAAUUAUGACUCUCGUUGUUGUUGUUGUUUUCUUCUUUUCCCCUUUCCCCUGGUGUGAUUCAAUAAAAAAUGAACCUGCUUUCUUAAAAAACGUUGUCAAGAUUACCAAAAGUAGGUGACUAAUGCGUCUGCAAGGCUCAUUAAUUAAUGGUUAGAUAAUCUACUAUAGAAUGAAAUCAACAUCUUGGUCGCCCACCUAAUUAACCAACGGCUCCCAAUUACUUGCUCGUGGCACAACAUUUGGCACUUUCCAAAUUCAAUAAGCUAAUUAAUCUAUUCAAACAGAUUUCAUAAACAUGAUAUGACCCUUAAGAUUAUCUAUUGAUACGCCUAAUUAAUUGGAUAUUUUAGUAGAGAAAGCUCCUUGUACCUCCAUAUGUCACUAAGAUUGAUUUGCAUUCUUAACACAAGUCAUGCCAAGUGAAAGCAAACAAUAAUAAUAUUUUGUGUUGGUUCUCACGUGGUAUUAUUAAUAAAUACUCCCUCCGUCCCACUUUGACAGUCUUGUUUCUUUUUUCACACAGUUUAAGAAAAAGUAGUUAACUUUGUUGGAAAAGUAAAUUUAGAUUGCUAUUUUCCUAAAAUACCCUUACAUUAAAUAUGGUACAAUUUUAUGGGAACUUGAAUUGAUGGUAAAAAAAGAAUCAACUCUCAUUAAGUGGGGUAGGUUUAUAGUAACAACUACUUACAUUAAAUAAGGGUAUUUUAGGAAAAUUAAAAUACAACCACAUUCUUCAAUUGGGAAGUGGACUACAAUUUGGGACAGAUGAAAAAGGAAUACAUGACUAUUAAAGUGGGACGGAGGGAGUACCACAAUCUUGAGUAAUUAUGUAUAUCUAAAGAUGAAAAUUUUGAAGUAGUGCAUACAUGCAUUAAUGCGUAGUCAUGAACAGAAUUAGUAGAUGAUGAAAGAGCAUCAAAUAUGGUUGGUAGUUGUACGUGGAUCACCAAACUCUCAACUGCUAAGGCAAACAUUUAAGGUUUAAACUUUUUUGAUGGAGUAUUAUAACUUUUUCAACCUUUUCCACCAAACAUUAUAAUAUGUGGGAUGAAUUCUUGAAUUUAUUAUAGUUACGCCCAUGCACGUCAUGCAGCUACACAAGAAGAAGCAGCGACUGCAUAUGACAUGGCGGCAAUAGAGUACAGAGGACUUAACGCCGUUACUAACUUUGACCUUAGCCGUUACGUCAAGCGGCUAAGACCAAACCAAACUGGUAACGGUGUCAAUAACGUUGCCAGCUCUGAACAAAACCCUAACGUUGACCUCGAAGUUAAUCCAAUCAAGGAUGAUGCCAGUGAAGAAGUGGAUUUAAGCUUCAUCCAUCAGCAGCAGCAACAACAACAUAGCUCUAGCUCGCCCGACACCUCCACCACCACCACCACCACCACCACCGCGCCACAGCCAUGUCCAGCUGGCGGUGCCACCGCUUCGUCCGCGUCAGGGCUUCUCCUGCAGUCAUCCAAGUGCAAGGAAAUGCUCGAGCGGGCAUCAGCUGUUGACAGCCCUUCGACGCCUCCCGAACAGCCAGAGCCGCCGCGGAGGAGCUUCCCUGAUGAUAUUCAGACGUACUUUGCUUGUCAAGACUCGGGCAACUUUGCCGACGAACAUGACAAUAUUUUUGGUGACUAUAAUCCAUUUGCAUCAACUAUGUUCCCAUGUGAGCUUGAUGCAUAGCAGAAGAGACGCAAUUAUAUAAACGGUGGCUUCUCAAGAAUUAAAUAUAGAAUUAUACAUCGAUUUUGUGAAUACAGAGGUUGAAGACAGCGGCUGAGAAAUGAUAAGUAAGGCGACAAAAAAGAGUCUUAGGCUUCUAAUUAUUAUUAUCGAUCGAGUUUUUAGUUAACACGGUGCUUCCAUGCUCUUCCCAUCUGCAAUAUCGGAAGAGAAGAGUUUUUCUUUCCUUUUUACUUUUGUUUGUUGGUUUGUUUGUUUUACUUUGGUUGUUAAUGUAGAUAGGUUGGGUAUAGACAUUCAUUUAUCAGUUGCAUUGAUAAAAUUUUUGUAGCCAAUUAAGGGCAUUUAUUCUUCUGUUAGUGUCACACUGUCUAUUUUUUCUUAAACUUUUGUGCUUUAUAUCCCCUGUCCACCAUCUAAUCCAAGGAUUUGGGGCAGGGACGGUCAUACACGGUUAAGGGCCAAGAUUUGCCUUCAAAAUUUUGUGUGGCUGAGAUUACACCAUGUAACUCGAUUUCCGCACCAAGUGUGGGACCCAUCACUAUCUGUUGUGAAAAUACAUCCUGUGAAAAAAAAAUUACACGAUGUACAAAGAAAGUUACGCGCAAUUGAUAAUGACCAAAAUUGCCCGGGACGGUUGCACCUGCAACCGUCCGUGCCCCGAGUCCCUAAUCCAAAUACUUUCAUACUCAUGAGAAGCCAAAUAUUUGGGUCUGGUUGCCAAAUAUUUGGGACUGGUUGAGGAAUCAAGAGACUUCUUGAUAGGUUCUUUGAUACGAAAUAAAAGUUUAAAAUCAAUCGUUUAUGUAGAAGUAAUUGUUAGACAUUGGCACAAUGUGGAAGUUGCUUCUUGUCUAAAUCUAUGCUCUUUUUCCUUGAGCAUGCCAUGCCAAUAAUACUCCAAGCUACAGACAUUUCUCCUAUUAAAGACAAAGGACUCAAAAAAGCCUAUUCUUGCUUUACAAUUUGCUCUCCAGAUGCGAAUCAACUCCGAAGUUUCUCUCUUUUGGACUACUUGCCGGAAUUUUCUAAGAUGCUUCUUUCAUCUCCUUUUGUGAUUCACCCGUAAAAGCUGCAAAACAUCUAUGGUUAAUUGCAAUUGCCCUUAAACUAUCAAGUUUUUGAACUUUACCAUCUUAUAUUAUCUAUUUGUAUCAUAUAGUUUACUCAAAUAAGUUAAAAGUUUGAAUUUAGAUUACUGUUUUUGUAUGAAAAAUUUGUAUACCCCAAAAUUGCAUUUGUUUACCAACAAUCCCCUUGUUCACGUAGGGGUGUCAAAGUGUUUUCACUCAAACGUAGCUAAGAACAUCCAUUAGGGAGAAUAACUUAAACACUUGUCUUCUUUUUUUAAGGGAUUUUUAAAGUACUUUGAAGGACCAAGGAAGUCACCAAACAAAUGUACCAUACCUGCAUUUCUCAAUGUCCGCCGAUUAGGCAAUUCUUCCCAAAUAAACUGAAUGCUUGAAUCUUUCUGUUUCCUUGGACUUUCUUUAGUGUCAUUUGGUUGGAACUUCUUGUUCUCCGACCUAAAGAAUUUAACAUACUUUCUGAUUGGUGCAAUGAACAUAUGUCGAUCGAAAAAACACAAACCAGAUUCAUCUUUAUCUCUUCAAUUCAGACCAGCUUCCAAAUGUCAGCAUGCAUUUGCACAAAAGGCCAGCUCAGGGCCAUUUAUUGGCAGUUAGCGACUAAAUUAACGGGCAAUAUCCGAUUUUAUGCGUAAAAAUCCGCAUCAGCUGGUCCCAAAUCCAAAAAAAAAACAAGUGGAAAAUAAGCAACCAACUGGCAACCUUUUUGGAGUUCUACGCUAUCCUGCUCCCCCGACUUAGUAUAAUGGGAUAUGUAUUCUGGGAUUAUUUCUUGGGAAUUCAAUGUCACAAUCUUUGUUAAUGUACUAACCAGCAAGAAGAUACCCAUGUGGACAACGUCAAAGCAUAGGUAAGGUCAAGUAGCGUGCUGCUUAUAGCUUGAGACAGUAAGUUUGGGAUCAAUUUUGUUUAAAUUUGCUUUGUCGGAUGUUUGUCGUACUCUUGCUUCGUUUUAUUUUCUUUUCCUCGUACUUAAUUCAGGGCUACCCGAAUUUGCUUAGAAGAUUUGGACAGUGCAUAUAUGAUUAACUUUCUUUACAAUUGAUAAAUUCCUGUGUGUGUAGAUUACCUAAAUCUAGAAAAUUGUAUGGCUAUCCGUACUAUAAAGUCGCUUUUUUUUGGUAGAAUUGGCAAAUUGGAGAUCUUAAAUUUAUGCAGUAGCCUGUGUACACGAGAUGCUUUCAAAUUCCCACGUACAGGCUUUUUGAUAGAAUUGGUCCACUCGGAGGUCUUAAAUUUAUACAAUAGCCUAUCUCCUCUAUCUACAGGAAAUGCUUCAAAAUUCCCACAUAAAGAUCACACAGAACAGUGCAAAAGAAAAGAUUGGAGAAGAAUCUGAUACUUUCUCUUAUCUCCAUUUAAUCAUCUCUAGUCGCCUAGCAUGUUACCAAAGUAUGGUAUUCACAAAUCAGAAAUCAGAAUGUUACUUAGAGCCUCAACCUCAACUGUGGAGGCCCCCCAAAUCAAGCUAAGAAUUAGCUAAUGACCGAAGAACUCGCUAAAAAUUAUCUUUCCCUCGCUUGUAAAGAACUAAAACCAAAAGAAAAUCAUAGUCAAUGAAAGUUGCUGCUGCUUUUUGUGUGUCUAAUACCCUGGUCUUGCUUCUUCUACCUAUGUUACUGGCUUAGAGUUACAUACAUGCUAGCUUCAGGUCUUCAAAACGAACUUCUGCUUUGAAUAGUAUGCCUGGCACCUCUAUCCCUUGUUGGCGGAGGAAGUCAGCCAAUGAAUCAGUGGCUUCAUCUUUGGCUGUUGCAUUGCCAACAGGAUAUUGUAGUUACAUUGUGCAACAGGCCUUUGAAUCAAUAGAAGCUAAACUGAUGCAGAAGGCCUGAAAUCCAGUCAUGGGAUAUCUGCAAGAUAGAUUACAUUCCUUGAAUUAUGACAUUGGUAUAAAAAAUUCAUUUCUUGCUUGACUGUCGUGUGUUCCAAAAUUGAAUUAGUUUUCUCUACGCAGGUACCUGAAAUCCAUCACAUAGUUGGACUUCCCCACCCUUCCAAGCUGGAGGAUUGUCUGCCUUCCAUUCUUCUAGUGACACAGAGAAUCUUUUAGAAAAUCGAUCGACAUCAUUAUGCAAAGUGUCGUCUAUGUGAAACAGAACCUGGGGCUUUAAGAGCAUAUAAUAGUUAUGCUUGAGAAACUAAUUCUAUUCGUUUGAUUUAAUCUUGUAAGGUCCUUACGUCGAUCUAAUAAGCUAUCAGGAUUACCUCCAAUGUCAGCUGGAAAUUCUUUACUGAGCUCUGGAUCCGAAGUCCUGUCCUUCCUCUGUCUCUAUAAUCUAAUUCAUACUUCUUUGAAAUCUUUUUGCACAAUAAAGCAGUAAAUCAGCAGAUUAAUCGAGUAAAAGUGCAAAACAUCUGUGAAGAAUAAAACAGCCACCACAUACAUUUACCUUAUUGUAGUGUGGAACCCUUGAGAACAGUUGAUGUACUUUGUCCAUUUUCUCCUUCCAAUCCAGGGGUAGUCCAUUGAUAUGCUGUAAAAAAGAGGUAUAAGCAUUUUUCCAAUCUAAAAGGAGACUAACGUUUAUAGCUCCAUAUGAGUAAAGAGUUAGUUGCUUCUGAUUAAGUGAAUGUGACAGAAGAUAUGAAAAAAAUUGUCAAGCUAACCUGAGUCACGUUCUUUAGCUGCAUUGAUUGAUGCUUUGGUAUCCAUGCCUUGAUGCUUCUAUGACUACCAGUCCAGGUAGUUAUGGUAGGAGUAAACCUAUUCACAAAGAGGGGAAAUAAUUGGCUUUAACAGUUUGCAAGAUCACAGAAAAACACAGAAACAUAAAGAUAGGGAGGGAUGAUGUAGCUUACGUUACAACUGCAAGUAAUUUGAACAGUUUGGUCAAGGGAUUGAGUUGAUUUCCCUGCAACAAAUUGGCUAUGUCCAAUUAGAAGCUUGAAAUUUGUGCUUGCUUUCGCUCUUGAGCAGAGCACCUUAGCCCUCUAUGAGAGGCACUACAAUUCAUUUGGACUUUUCGUAUCGUACCUGGCCCCAUAAAUGGUAUUUUGAACCCAUAAGAUUUGCUGUCAUAUUGCCAAUUAAACUGUCAUCCUGACCACUUACUAAUCCCUUAACACAUGAUGCCACCAAGAAUUCUGAUCUUCCAUUUCGCCUUCUGUGAUGAGCAACAGCAAGCUUUCUGUUUUGUCUGCCAUGACCCUCCUGUGACGUGUUAAAGGCGAAUCAUAAAUAUGUUCAGUGCAUCUACUGAGAAAGUUCUUGUAAUUAGAGGUCAACAACAUUACUGAUAGGAAUUUUCUUAUAGCAGAGCAUUGUAAUCAAAUUCAUGCACACACGUCUAUGUUUCUUGCUCCAAUGAGGCGUUUCAGAAAGCAAAUUGACCAUUAACUAUAAUGGUUAUGAUUGGUCGAAAAACGUCAAAAUAUUAUUAUUUUUAAAAAGCAUAGUGACUAUAAUGAGCAGCCAAAUUUCAAACUCAAUAAACAAGAAGGCCUAGACGCUUAUAAUCCAAUAAUCAUAAUGAUAUCAUAAUCCCUAAGCAUAUGAGCUGCCCCUCUGUGCAUAUAUAAGAGAACUGCGGUAAAGUGCUGCAGCUAAAACUCCAUUUAUAUCUAUCAAGAUUUGAACUUUGCACAGAAGCCUUACUAUUUUGUGAGUUUUGCACAGAUAUCUAUCAAGCCUUACUAUUUAUAUCUAUCAAGUUUUGCACAGAUAGGCUAAAAACUCCGUGAAGCACCGCUUAAAGUUGCAAAAGAGACUUACAUGAGUGUAAAGAGAGUAGAGGGUCCCUUUAUCCAGUCCUUCUGGAGAUGGUUCCUUCACUAUGAGACAAGUACACCUUCCAAUAUCCACAGGUAAAGGCCUACAUAACAAUGACCUGAAAACAUACCGCCAAAACAUACAUUAUUAAUUUGCUAAAAAAUAUGCAAGCAGCUUCUUACAUGGGAAAUCUACUUAAAUGUCAGACCUAUUAGGCAGAGUAGACCAGGAGGAAGCUGGUGCAGCCUCUGAAUCAGAGUAAUCCCAAAUAUUCCCAGAAUUUGUAGUUCCAGAAUCAACAGGUUCCAAAGUUCUGGUCCCAAUUAUCGAAUCAGGUUCAUGUUUCUUCAUACAUAGCUGAAGUGAAGACGGCUUCAAAGCCCUGUCUUUCGUAUUCAAAUUAGGACAAUUAGGGACAAAAUCCCCGGGGUCUAGCCGAAUCCCUUUACAGAAGCCUGCAUUUUCUUUAUCAUUCCAGCACCCAAUUUGAGUCCUAUUAGGAGUAAAAUUCUCUUUGUCAUCAGAAGGAACAUUAGCAGGGUUGAGAUUCCUUCGAAUAUGCACAGCAAGGGGAACAAUGUUGUUGCCUGAAUUCCCACCUUCGCUGGAGCUCCGGUUAUGCCUGAGCUCACUGAGAGGAUUAGCAUAUAAGGAAUUAUACGAAGACUGCCGAGGAAACACUGAGGUUUUCUUGAAUUCAGACAUUCUUUUUUCUGGUCUGAAAAUGGAAGUAAAAGAUAGAUGGGGUGAAGUAUCGAAGCCUAUGCUGCUGCUGAAGUGGGGUGGUGGUUCAUGUAGAUUUUCUCAUGGGAUUGUCGGUUUUUGGUGCUUUUGAAGUGAAGUACUCGUUGGUAGACUGGAUAUGCCAUCUGCCUUAUCUAGUGUUUGAUGCCAUCGAUGGAAUCAACAAAAAUCAACCGCAAUUUGAAUUUGAAAAUUUUGUAUUGGAAAAUGUGUGAGUUGAGGAUUUUUGGAGGAAAGUGUAACGGUAACUAGUUUUGUCUGGGACUUCUUGUAGGGCUUUGGUGGUCUGGUCGGUUGGACAUGGGAGCCGUAAUUCGUGAAGAUUAAUAAAUACUCGGAGGCGGGAAGCAGAUUUGAAUAGAGGAAUCAAUAAAAGUAGGAAUCUAUUGCUAUCAUCAUUAAAAGCCUUGUCCUGUUACGUACAAAUCUGGUAAGUAAUUAUGACUCAAAAGAAUACUAAGUAACUCAAAACCCGACAUCCAUCACCAUGGUUGGCUGUCCCACAUCUUCCAGUUUUGUUUCUUCAGGCUAAUUGCAAAGCGCCCCCUGAAUUACUUCCUGUUUGCCAUGUAAUCCCUGAGCUAUCAACUCUACUGUCUUGUGCUAGCAUCUUGUGGUGAAGCGUUAAUCCAUCAUAUUAUCGAGUUAUUAAGUGUGUUUGGAUAGUAAAUUAUUUGAGAUAAUUUUAUAAAGAAAACACUACUGUAACACUUUUUGGAUGUGAUGUAUGUGAAAUAAAAAAAUGAUUGAAAAAUGUGUUGAUGAUGCAACCAAAUCAAUCAAUAUGUGUAAAUAAUGUAUAAUCCAAACAAACUCAAUUAUCAUUUUACACUUCAUCAAGUUCAAGUGCGAGUUUGCUAAAAUGCAACUAUCUAGCAGAUGAUUUAGCAAGUACAUUAAAAAUGAUAGUAGUUGAUUGGGGAAUUUUAAGAUUUAACAUUUUUCUUCAGUAUUUGAAAAAGAUCUUAAGAUGGGGAAACAUUUCAUUUGCACCAAUUGAGUUUCUGUACACUUAAAAAUUUAAAAUACUCUCUUGUCACGUUCUUGGUAUUCUAAUCAUUUUUUUUAAAUUUUUGAUUAUGUAAUCCUUGGAAUCUGAUUUAAUUUUGCUAGGAACAAGAUACUAUCUACCAUGUGUUUGAGCAACUACAUAUGAGUUAAAUGCUUAACAAUUCGUACUUUCUUUCUUUUUUUUUUAUCGACACAGGGGUGUUCGGGUCAAUUCUUACGGGGCCCGACUAAUUCCCUGCUUUACAAUUAGUACUUGAGCCCCUGGAAUUAUGUCUUUAUGGACAAUAAGCCAUUUAUAAAGUUUUCAAAUUGCAAUUUAUUGAUUGGCUAGAUCCCUUCAAGUUCUAACUCAAGUUGUCCAAUUUUACUCGGCCAAAAUUAUUAAAAAAAAAAAAGAUUUGUGUUUAUACUUGAGGUUGUCCAAGAUAGAGGUGGCAACAAGGAGGCACUUGUAGUAGGGAUGGCAAUAAAGACAAAUGUCCAUAAGUGCAUGUCCUUGCAAGGGAGGAAUAGGAAGAGGGUUGGAGCGAAGCAAGGCGGGGGUGGUGGGAAAUUUUCUCUGCUGCAUUGAAUGGGAUGAGGAGGGGAGGGUGAGGGAGCAUAUCCCCACCCCCCUCCCCGCCUCACUUAUAUUUUAAUAUAGUAUAAUACAUAUGUAUGAUAUUAAAUAAAUGCUAUUUUAUUAUUUUUAUUAAAUAAAAAUAUUGUAUGAAAUAAAUAAUAUGUUAUGUUGUCAUGUUAAGGUGAUAUAAUUUUUUUGUUGAAACUUUAAAAGAAAGAUUGAUAAAGGGAAGUGAUAUUUAUACCCCUUAGCCUAGCACUCGUUGGAAGUUAUAUUUUUAGUGAAUGAAUGAAUUGGAGUGCAAGGGGUUAGAUAAGUAGGGGAUGAGAAUUUUUGUAGAACUGUCCUCUGCCUCAAAACUGCCCUGUUGUCAUCCCUAGACCAAGACACUUAGCUUUCUGUGAGUUUAUUUUGCAUGAACAUAUUGAUUUAUGACUUUAAGUAUUGCUUCAUUUGUGUAUAUUUAUAAGCUUCAUGAUAAACUAAUCUUUCAUAGAUUAGCUAACCAUUAGGUAAAGCAUAAAAUGCAAUUUUGGAUGCAAGUCAGGAUUUUAAUCCUUAAACUUGCAUGAGUGCACCCCUUGGCGCCCUCUUAUAGAUUUCCAAUAUCUCUUUUUUUUCGAUUUUAAGGAGGCUCAAAACCUUACAAAAUGAAGCAAUACGUGAAAAUAUUUGAAAGGAGACUAAAGUAAUAAAUGCAAAUAUUUGAAAGUUCGAUCUCUUGAGUCUUGACUAUCUGGUUACUGUUGCCAAAUUGGAUAUCGGGAACUCUACCUUUUUAGUCUUGAAACGUUUUGCGUUCCUUCACCCAGCCGGCCAGCCUAUCUGCCUGUGCAUGAUUCUGACCCGACUAAGUACUUAAGAGUCGACCCAAAGGUCAUGCCCCAAAGUCCGAAUAAAACACUGGACCUAACCCGAUAUGCCACGCUGAAAACGAGUGGCUUUCUUGAUGACCCGAAUCAUCUGAAAAACCAACGCACACUUCCACCAUGGCACCAAAGCCAACCAGCCACCAUCACCAUGGCCGCCGCCGCCGCCGCCACCACCACUACAAUUGCUCUCUUCACUAGCUCCUCUACUCUCUGCUGCAGAAAACCCACCUCAUUAAGACCAAAAAUCUUCAAGAUAAAAGCAUCAUUGGCUACUAUGUCCGCAACUACAACCAAAGUUGUCCCUGCGAUUAUAGUAGGAGGUGGACGUGUAGGAAAAGCUUUACAAGAUAUGGGAAAUGGUGAUGAUGUUUUGGUGAAGAGGGGUGAAUCCGUGCCCAUUGAUUUUCCUGGGCCCGUCUUGGUUUGUACUAGGAACGAUGAUCUUGAAGCUGUUCUUGAGUCUACUCCCAAGUCUCGUUGGAGCGGUACGAUUACUCGCUAUCUAAACCUGAUUCCUACUCUUGUGGAUUUUAAUUUUCCUUUGUUUCUUUGUUUUGGAUGGUCCAUGCAUGAAUUUUUGAGUAUUUCAUCUCGUUUUUUUGUAGUCUCAAGCUAUCUGCAAAGACCGAAGUACGUUACUAGCACAUAGGGCCAGUUCAGUAUAGCAUUUCUUAAGAAUCAAAAGUUGGACGAAAGUUUGGGAUAAGUAACUAUUGGUAAUACUUGUAUUCUAGCACAUAAGGCCAGUUCAGUAUAGCAUUCAUGAAUUUUUGAGUAUUUCAUCCCUUUUUUUUUCUCCUUUUGGUAGUCUUUGGCUAUCUGCAAUGACCGAAGUAAGUUACUAGCACAUAGGGCCAGUUCAGUAUAGCAUCUCUUGAGAAUCAAAAGUUGGACAAAAGUCUGGGAUGAGUAACUAUUGGUAAUACAUGUAUUCUAGCGGUUGAGCAUCCUGAAUGCUGUUGCUAGAUAGGUUGCUAGACGGGUGAAAAAGAUAGUGUUUGAGCUACAAAUGCUUUCGAGAAAGUGUGCCAGUUGGGUUUCCAUUUUUUCAUUUGGUGCUUUGAUGGUUCCCUUGUAUAGUUGUAUAUGUAAAUUACUUGACGCAUUUUCCUUGACUAGACAUUUUUUUUGUUUCAUUUUUCUUUGCACUCAUACUAGUAAAAGAAAUUUGCUUUUUGGUAAGUACAGGGGAGUAUGAGAGGAAAUUAUGUAAUAGACUGGCUUAAUGAUUGUUGGGUUAGUUCAGAACUGGGUAGUCAUACUUCAAAGGCUUUUAUCUUUAUCAUCCUGUUUCAGGAUGAAGAACUAAAUGUUUCUCUAAACCUGAUUUUCAUGAAUGUUUACCGGUUCUACAUGAUAUAAUUUUAUGCACUAGCCAAGGAGUUGUAGUGGAUAGAUGUGUAAUAGUGCAUGUUAGGUUGAAUUAGAAUGGGACAUAGGUUGAUGUGUAAGCACUAAGCACAGUUGUAAUAGAUGUUGAAAAUCUAGCAGAUCUGGUUUUUUUCCAGAAUGGGAUGCUGGAGACUUGGUUCCAAAGUAAAGGUCUUAGUGACCCUGACCAAGUUCUGGCAUAUUUUGCUGUUUCAAAGCUUGGUGAACCUCCUACUGAUGGGAAAACAGACACAAAUCCUGAGGGACUCACAGCAGCUUAUGGGAAGUGGGCUUCUGCAGUUGCUGGUAGAUUGCUUGCAGGAGGUCUUUCAUGUAAGGUAACAAAAUUAGUUUUGAUUUCUAUUGAUUGUAAAUGAUCUCUUAGGUGCAAAAAUGAAACCCAAUCAGCUUUUGAGGAAAAAUUAGGAGCGUCCAGGUCAAUGAUUGUGAAAUAGGGAUGUCCAUUUGCUCAUCCAUGCAGGCGAUGAGUUUAAUUGUCUGAUGAAAACACCCGCUUGCAUUAAUUCAUCCUCUGCAAAAAUUAAAUAGUUGUUGAGAAUCAAAUCCACACUUGGCCAUGUUUCUUCCUGGUGCCAAUGAUAUUUGAUUCUUUGCCCAUAUAUGGUAAUUGUCUGGUGAAAACAUCAGCAUGCAUUGAUUCAUCCUCUGCAAAAAUUAAAUGGUUAUUUUCAAAGAGAAUCAAAUCCACACUUGGCCAUGUUUCUUCUUGGUGUCAAUGAAUAUUUGAUUCUAUUCCAUAGAUGGUACUCUUGUUUUGGGGAUGCUCUAUAAAUCUAUCAUGUGAGUGAUAGUUUAUAGACUAGAGCUGGCAAUUUAAGUCAUUAACCAGUUCUCCUGAUUUCGAUUUUUUGGUUUAUACAUGCACCAUUACACUUUUCUGAGUCACAGGUUUGAGAUUCUAUAGUAAGAUUUUUCUCGUGGAAAAUUUAGGUUCUUGAAAAGGAAGCAUUCCAGAAGCAAAUGUUCGAGAAGCUUAUAUGGAUAUGUGCCUUCAUGCUCGUUGGUGCUCGCCAUCCUGGAGCAACUGUAGGCAUUGUUGAGAAGGAAUACCGAUCUGAGGUAAAUUUUUUGCAGCUGUUAAACAAGUGAAGCAUGACAUUUUUUCACUUAUCUUUUAUUACUCUUAGGAGUAAUUUUGACAAGCAGCACUCAUUUUUCCAACUAUUAUGUUACCUAUGGUGAAUUGAAUGCACCUUUUGCAAUCAUUCUUCUGGUUGUGCAUACAGUGAUCCAGCUUAUUCUCAGUUUGUAUCUUUACCAGGAACUAUUAAUUUGAUGAAAUAUUUUUUUUCUUUUCUUUUUUUUUUUCUAGGAAUGAGGAUCUCUUGUCAUGUAGAAAAAUCACGUACAAUGGAAAUGGCAAAACAAUGCCACUUCCUAACAAAUAGUUUUGUGAAAGGAAAGUAAAAGAAGAGAGAGAUUCUAUAGGUUCCCUAGAACUCAAGCACUUGCAUUUCUUAAGGCACUUUCAACACAAUUCAUUUCCUUCUUCAGCCAGUAGGUGAAUUUUUGGGGAGGAUAUGCAUUUGUUGAAAUUAUGUUUAUGUUUGAGCAAUGCUGAGGGUGAGCUGCAGCAUUUUCUUAAAAAACAAUUUCGUCUAUCUUGGUCUGGGAAACAUAGCUCUUAGACAUCUUGAAAAUUUUCUUGGUGUGCAAUUGGUGACUUUUUCUUAGCUUACCCAACAAUUAAAAGUAAUUGUACAAUGGAAAAGUAAAGGAAGCUGCAAAAAAUUGGAAGAAGAUAUGUUAAUGGUUUGAUAAGGACAGUGGUUCUGCUCAUUUCGUGAUCUAAACUGAAAAGCCUGACAAAGAGCAUAAAUUUAGUUGGCAAACACCUUCCUUUACAUCACCUCUUAUCAGGACAAAAUAUUUACAGAUUGACAUUGCUUGUAUCAGUCCUAACUUUGUACGUGAGAGACAGCAGGAUGAAGUCUCAGUAUAUAUUAUCAUUACAGAAAGUCUGAAAGACGGUCCAUUUGUCAACUCCUCAUAUAUUCUGGAUUGAAGUUCACUUACUGUACAAGAGACAGUUUUAAGUCUUAGGUUCUGAAUUAACCUAGUUUUGAAGUUGCAUCAUGUUUCUGACUUCUAAGUGUGCUCAUGUAGAACAUAGAAGAAACUUGAAUGUCUCACUAAUUUAUGUUACACUGCAUGAGCCAUACUAGUAUGGUUUUGCAUAUUAACAGAAUUAGGUGCUAACAUUUAUUAAGGUUGCAGGUGUCUAGCCUCAUCUCUGAAUUGGCUGCUGCAGCAGCUGCAGGAAAGGGCAUUGUUUUUGAACCAGCUAUGGAGGAUAGACUAUGUGCUUACUCUCGGACAGUUGCACACUUCCCAACAGCAGUUAAGGAGGUGAAGAACGUGAAUUUGUCGUCUGUUAAGUGGUUGACUGAGUUUUUUAAACUUAUGAAUCUUGUUUGAUGCUCACAGUUCAAAUGGAGGAAUGGUUGGUUCUAUUCACUUUCUGAUAAGGCAAUCGCAGAAGGGAAACCAGAUCCAUGCCCAUUACAUACAGCAUGGCUAAAAGAACUAAAUGUAGUAUAACUCGCAAGUUUCUAUAGAUCAGAAUCAAGGCUGAUGCACACAAUGGUUUCAGUUUCUUAGAUCAGGCAGUUCCUUCUCCUGACUGCAGUGCUUUUGCCUUCUGGUGCGUGAACUUUAAACUUGUCAGCAUCAGUAUGCUUGCAGAAUUGCAUAAAUUUCAAUUGCUAGAUUCAUUACGUCAUCCAUUAAUUUAUAUGCUGACAACGAAUUGUAACCUGAGCCCUAGGCACUUGUACACAUGAUUUGGGCUACGUAUAUCCAAGAUUUAACAGAGUCCAGGCAGGAAGAAAAUCGAAGGGUUAGAAAUUCAGGUCUUAAUUAAUUCAAUACAAAAUGGAUGUUCCUUUUUAUUCGACAUAUUGAGGCGUCCUGGAUAACUUGAAAAAGUCCCUCAUGCUUUUUAAUUUAAAGCGAAUUUAAACCAUUUUUGCACGUUUGUAACAUCUAAUUGCAGAAUGUGUCUCCUUGUAUCAUCUGAUACUCAAUGCAGACUAUUUUUCAUGAAUAAACCAAAAGAACACUACUCUUUCGGAUGUAAAUAAUUGACUAAAUACAACCAUGGGCCCGUGGAAAGCUCGCCUUGGGGGCAUGGUAGAGACAGGCUUUGAACAGAGGCAUACAUUUGCUAGGUAGCACAACCAUAUCAUCUAACGUCAUAUUUUCAAGGUUAAGAGUAAUAGCCCUUCGGUGUGUUACCAGGGUGUCAGUAGUAUUUUGUUCUGCGCGUGAAAGGGCAUCGUCUCCUCCCGCUUGAGUUCACUAUCUAAGCCACCUGCACGGGUUACAGGUCUUUUCAACAUGCUGCAUUUUAAAUACCACCACCAGCUGAACGAACGAAUGCAUAUGGUACUCAACAAGCAUGACAACAUUUGAAGAACCGAGUCUCUUGUUUCUUUCAUCAUUAACCAUGAUAUUCGCUCUGCAUUAUAUCAACAGCCAAUACCUCUUGGACAAAAGAAUGCAGUUGUAGAUCUUUAUCAUUCAUGAAGCCUGUAGAUUCAGCACUCCAAGCAUGUUGACCUUCGAACUGCUGAGCUUUAAAAAAUUGUAGACGUGGAAGAAUGAUAUGGACUUGCCAACAGUACUUCAUGGAUGGGCUCUUUCACCUUGUCAAGCAUCAUAAUCCGUAUCUGUGCUGUUUUGUGCUGUUCCUAAUCUGACCAGACGUUCCAUUUCAUCAUACACAUCAAGAUUCUCACAUGGGACAGGGAAGAUCUUUCCGAUUGCACGGCCAUGAACAUAAGAGCACUGGAAUAUAUGCUUCUUCUUGUAUGUUAUCCCAACUAACAUGCCCCUAAAAGUGACAUUCCGCACAGGAAUUUCUCGGCUCCCAUAUAUGCGAACUGGAAUACGAAUUCCCUGUCCAUGUAUGGAGGUGAAGCUUAUGUCUUCAAUAACUGGAAGGGCAUUUGGAUCAAAGCCUUCAUCUGGAUGCUCAUUGUAAUCAGUUUUUAUCACAAUACCCACCCGCACAUUUUCAAAUGUCAGGUUCUGGUAGGAUAUAUUUCGAACAUAUCCUCCCCUACCAGCACUGGUCUUAAUCCUUAUACCCCUUUUAGAGUUCCAUACCAGGAGAUUCUCCACUGUUAUAUUUGAGACUCCACCAGACAUUUCGCUGCCAAUUGAUACUCCUGCACUGCAAAAAACAUGUACAGUUCAGUUGAAAGAGAUACGUUACAUAUGCUUCCUAGUCCACGUCACGAAGUCAGAAAGAAUGAUGCACAAAUGCCUAUACUUCUGCUACUCUCAGAAACUUCCAACCUUCUCGAGUCCAUGUCUCAAUAUACAACCCAAAUGUGCAUAUAUAGUGCACAGGCCAGGUGGAUAUCUUGAUACAUAUACCAAGCCAACAAAAAAUGCAUCAUUAUGCACUGACACCAGCAACAUUCAAGGGGGAAAUAUUUGUGUGCAUCUGGGGUAUAUAGCUCAUCAGCCAAAAAAAAAAAAAAAUUGUAUAAACAAGAUCAGGAAAAACAAAUCUUCGCAACAUAUAAUGGGCUAACACUCAAGAAUCAAUUUCAGUGGGCAAAAGCAAACAAAUGUAGCACAUCAAGACAUCAUAUAAUUUAAAAAAUUAUCUAGUGAUCCAGAACAUAACCUAUUAGGAGCUGGAAAAGCUAGUGAUCUAACAAUACAAACAUUCAGAAACUACGACACCUUGAGUUUUCCCCACAGGAGGUGCCCACAGCAUGCAAAUGUUAAAAGGAUAGAUGAAGCACAGGUAGAGCUUUCUAUUUAAAAAAUGCAUUAAAAUGAUGAGAUGAAUAAGGAGCAUAAUUAUAAAUAUCAGGUACCCUUGACAAAUUGCCACUCUGCUGAAAGGGCAUUACAUGCUUCCAUGAAGAUAAAUGUUUAAUCAAUGAAAGCAUACUGCGAUAAAUUAAGAAACCCAACUGGAGUGGUACAUUUGUGCAAUGUUCAUAAAACACUUCAGAAGAAUGAUCACCUUAUCAUGGAACGGACAAUGAGAUUACGAAUGACAAUAUUGGUGGAAGGCCGACCAUAAGCAAUUCCGUACUGAUCCCAGCCACUCUUUACUGCAAUUCCAUCAUCUCCAACACUUAUAUAACUGUCCUCUAUGAUCAUAUUUUCACAUGAAUCUGCAUUGCCAGGAUGUCAAUUUUACACUAUAGAGUCUAACAUUUGCUUAAAAGAAUGGCACAUGCAGAUGGUCUAUGAAUAGCCUAGAUAUUCACAGCAUAAUAAGGAAAAGAAAAUUUUGAAAAAAGUUGUAGGGCAUACAACAUAGCAUCACAAUAUUGAACUCAUAUUUAUCCAACCCAAUGACAGUCAUUGGGUUACUAAACACUCUUAACAAGCUAACUACAAUGACAUUCUGAUUCUUCCAGGUCCAACAUCUAUCAUAACUGAACACCAUUUUGGCUAGGCACUAAAAAAUGUCAUACUAAUUGCUACAAUUUAGCACGAAAGAAUUACAACAUGCCUAGAAGUAAGUAUACCAGAAGUAGCACCAAUUUUCUGAUCAAGAUUACCAAAAAGACCAGCAGUUUCUGUAAGUUGGAAGGUAAAGCAAGAAAGAAGAAUGAAACUCUAUGAAAAAGCAUAAAACAAUGCAAAUUUACCAGGAUCUAUUCCAUCAGUAUUUGGGGCUUCAGAAGAUGGAGCCAAAAUAGUUACAUUUCUGAUCGUCACAUUUUGACAAUCAUAAGGGUGAAGUGUCCAGAAUGGAGAAUCUCGCAAGGUAAUGUGAGAAAUCACAAUAUCCCUUGACCACAUAAUCUGCACAAGGGGGCCUCUGGUGUGAUUUAACCGAUUCUUCCUAUACUUCUCCCACCACGCUUUACCUUGUCCAUUGAUGGUACCAUUGUGCCCUGUUAUCAUUUGAAAGAUCACAGCACACCAACUCAACAAGCUAUUUCCAAUCAGAAUUUACUACUCGGCGCACUUUUGGAACCUUAUUAACUCUACUAACAUGCCAAAAAUGAUUGAUAUACGUACAAGAUUCACAAGCUCAUAAAAAUCAGAUCUGCAAGGAGUUUAAAUAAAAAUCUAAUUUCCAUAAUGCGAAACCACUUCAGAAUGACCAAAUUACCUGUAAUCACAACAUCCUUCAGAUUCUGGCCAUGGAUUAAACUUCCAUAACGAGGUCCAGGACGUUCUCUUCCAUAUCCAUAGGACGGCAAUGGAGGCAUCAGAGGCCAAUAAUUCUCAUCCUAUUACAUUUCAAGUCAGCUAAGUACAUUUUUUUUUUAACAAACAAAUGCAGCAGUAAAACAACAAAACCAGCAAAAAUAGCUGCCUAAUACGCCUUGAGGAGGCAACAAAGUAGGCGAGGGCGCUUACGUCAAUUCCAAGAAUAACAGCAUUCUCAGCAAGGAACAAUGUCAUGUGGCUAGUGAGAUUGAAAGGAGCAGUGAGCCAAAGACCAGGCCCAACAUUCAGCUGGCCGCCGCCUCGCUUGCGAAUUUCCGAGAUUGCCCUCUCGAAGGCCAUAGUGUUCAAGUAGACGCCAUCGCCGACAGCACCGAAGUCGGCGAGGUUGAACGCCAGACGUCUUAGCUUGGGAAUAGGGCGAGGGGGCGGGAAGAAGCGCUGGUCGUGGUAGGUUAAGAGGCGAUCGACGGCGGUUUUUUGCCAAAGGGCGACGAGGAUGAAUCCGGCAGUCCAGAUGAGGGUGAGGAAUGUUUGGUGCGAGGAGAGCAAGGACGGGAACAGGCGUUUGUAGUCGAGUCGUCGGGCGUGGACCCGAAGGGAAUCGGGCAUGGUUUUGGGAAUGGAAAUUGAGAAAUGGUGCGGGAAAAUGAUAAGUGGGAAUGAUCGGAAUGGAGAUUUAGUGAAGGAGAUGAGUGGAACUUGAAAGUUGAAAGCAAAGAUCGGAAUGGGACCAUGCAAAUAAGGGAAAAAUAAUUAUGGGAGAUUACUGCAAGUUUCAAGCCGAUUAGGGGUUUAAAUUUUAAUUGCAUAAAAUCAAAUGCUAAAAAUUGGACAAAGGAAAAGGAAAUCCCUAAAAGUAUAAAUUGGAACAGUAAUUUUUUAUAUAUUUUUUUUGUUUGAAAAACCUAAACCAUGAUAUUACCCACCAUUUGCCACGUACAAGUACAAAAACAAAUUGGUGGCUUAGAGACUUUUUAGCAGUGAUGCUCAUGGGCUGAGGAAAAUCGUAACUUGCAAGUGUGUUUAAUUUCUUGCGAUUUGAAUCAAGCGAGACAAAUUGUGGCAUCUUGCCAUCACAUCGGAUUUAAUAGUUCAACGCCUGGAAAGCUCCUUUUUUUUUAUUUUUAAGGGGGGACGGCUAGAAAGCUUUUGAUGGUGGUCGAUCUUUCUCAAAAUCUCAGUUACUGAUUCACAGAAACCAGCAAUUUCGCUGAUCUCGGCGGACAAGGAAAAAGGUUUCAAGUAAAACUGGUAACCAGAGAAUGAAAAGCAAAAGCAGCGCAUACUCAUAAAGCCAUAAAGCAAAAUCUAGAGCUUGGAAGCCAAGCGAAGCAAAGCUUAGGGGGUUAUAAAAGUAUAUGAAAAGCUAAACAAAAGCCGUUCUUACUAUUAACAACAAAAAAUAAUAUGACCAUGAUUGACAACACAACCCUCAUCACCAAAACCCAACUUAUCCCUUUCCACGAGGGAGAAUUCACUUAAUCGGCUACAAUUUUAUCAUUUGGCUUUCCAAAAAAAAAUUUCACAUCCUCCUACUCAAGCAGUGAGGGCUAAACUAACCUACUUGAUAUUCAAAAGUCUAUAUCUCAGAUUUUCCUCCUCCAGGUUCCAAGAGUGAUAUAGUCAAAAUGAAAUCAGCAGCCAACCAUGGUGCUAGAAGAAUUUCAAUUUCCCCUUGCCUACAGCUGCCUUUGCCUGCUGCAGAUGACAUGCUGCUUUUUGAGCCCUGGAUAAUCCAGAGCACGAGUCACUGCCACCCAGGGUUACUGCAAAGUAGAGGUAAACAGUGCAGAGAAAAGCUAGAAGAGCCAGAGCAGUAAGGAGGAAGCGGUGCCGCUGAAUGAGGGUUGAGCAGUUCCCGAAUUCAUCCCCACGUGACAUCUGUUUUUUAAGCAUUGGUGAAGAAAACCCACUCUGAGGUUGAGAUCUCCUAUGAGGUGAAGUUAUGAUGCUGUCAAUAGCAGCCAUUUUCUACACAGUAAGCUUCUGCUACCACUUCAGCUUGUCUGCACCUGCAUCAAUCUAAACUUAAGGACAGGCACCAUAUUCAAGCAAAAUUCAUCACAACACAUUAAUGAAAUUCAAUACAGAAAAUAAAAAAAGUCUUUGGUAUGCAAAAUAACAGCUAGCAUUCACACAAAGCCAGAUCAACUAGCAAAUUGAGUGAGAAUUAACAUAGAACAGAGACAAGAUGUAUGACUUCAUUAUACAAAAGUAAUUAGAAAUACAUCAUUAAAUAAAUCAAUGAUUUCAAUCAUCUAUGGAGCAAUAAUAGAUCAAAAACAGAAUUAUCCACCACAAUAACAGUUCUCCUUUAAGGCACACUGGUACGUCAUAAGGAGAUGAGCCCUCAGUGGCAAUCAGAAUACUCUCCUCAUGAAAAUUCACCAUGAUAUAAUCUCAAUCAUCUGGAAUCAUACAGGCAAUAAAAGAGAUUGGCUAGCGUUUACUAUAACCAAAAGCAGGGGCAGCAUAUCAAAAGUGCUUGCUUUACUGUCCCAUUUCAGAUAUUCAGUCCACAAUAUUAAACUCACAAAACCACAGCAAUUAAAAUGUAACUUGCUGUUUGAGAGAGAGGAGAACACCUAGUAGCCAAAGAACAGGAAGUUUUCGAGAUCAAUUUAAUCCCUGUUUGCUUACUUUAUCCCUUCCAGAUGAGCAGGGCUGUUCAAACAUUCUGGUAAGGGAGCUUAACAUGGAAGUAUCCAAGCAUGAUCAACAACCAUUUGAUCAUGUGAUCACUUGACACCCUGGACUUUUACAUUCAUAAUAACAAAAUGGCGCUAAAACGUCAAUGUUCUGGACUUUUAUAUUCAAUGUGUUAAAAGGUUCACCCACUUCUAUACUGAAUAAAGGCGUUAACAUGGCCAACCUCAUGUGAUAGCUCUGGCUGUUAUUAGGGUUGAAAAUAUAAAGAGAAAGAUACUACAAACAUAAUCUGAGAAGACGACUGAGAAAAGUUUGACAGCCCAAAAUUACAAUUGCAGGCAAUAUAUGAAAAGAUGAUCACUCAUACUAAUCAAACACCUGAAGGCAAAGAAUAUGGUUCAGUCAUUUCAUCCAAUUUUAUUCUUCUCUUUCAUCCGGCAGAUUAAAUAGUGUCAGUCAAACAUUGCUGACUCCAUGACAUCCAGUCUAGAAAUGAUAUCCAAUUCCUUCCUAGCGUAAUUAUCAAAAAGGCCGUAUCAGAACUACAAGCUCAAAACACACACUCCUCUUUGCUCCAUCUGCAAUCCUUGCUUAGAGUUAGAGCACGGCACAAUUCAACCAUCAGUGAGAUCUGAGAAAAUGCACCAAACUACGAUACAAUGCCUUAGCCCUCGCAAGUUGUAAAAUGUAACCAACUCAUCUUAGCACUGGAAUUACCUCUGAAACACAAACAAUCACCAAAUACUCCAUAUAUCCUGAUGGAUUCCCGAGAACGAACCAAAGCUUCUAGAUCUUAUGUGACUAGUUUUAUACACGCAAGUUCAUACCCAAAUUUGAGUCCACAAUUGACCUCCAAAUUCACAUUCGCUUCAAUCAAAUCUACUAACGGAACAGUAUAAAAAAUCGCAGACAAACAAAAAUUAAUCACAAGUUUUAACACACCAAAACUAACAGCUAAAAAUAUUCCACAAAGGAGUUCCCUCAAAUUCACAGCUGGAAAAUGAGAUUCCACAUUGCAGUCGGCAAUACAAAUCACAUGAUCAAAAUUUAACAAUAUAAUGCGGCAAAUCAACGCGUAAAUCAAAAGGAGCAGAUCUGUAAAAAGAAGCUUCACGACAUAGUUAAAGGAACAACCCAAAACAAAAAUGCGCCAAGGAAUUUACAGACGAGUUUCGGCCAUUAGGUACAUAGAAUUAGAUAAACACAAAACGAGAGAGAGAGAGAGAGAGAGAGAGAGACUUACGACCGAAGAAAAAUGAAGAGAAAAGGAUAGUUGAACCGAUCAGAGCUGAUGCACUCCGGAUUUUAAUCUUCCCUUCAGGUAUAAUUAAUGUUCAGAAGAAAUCAAUCAAUAUUUAAUCAAAAUCUUUAAUUGGGACAAUAAUAAAUAGUACUAGCAGAGUAUUCCUUUUCUGUUUUGUGGGCUUUUUUCUUCCGGUUGCUCGAAAUCCGUGUGCGUCGGGGGGCUGGCGUUUCGGGUGGAUGUGAGGAGGAGAGCCUGCCCGCCCACACGCACACACGCACUUCUUUCCAAACUACUGACCGGAGACAGGAGACUAUCAAAAAAUCUUUCCGCUGCUACUUAUAUAUGGUAACUAAGAUUGGACUUUUAUUGAUGUAUUGUGGAAAUGGACGACGCGUUCCCCUAAUUAACGAGAGAGAUAGGAAUAGGAUAGGAGGAGAAAAAAGCAAAAAAAAAAAAAAAAAAGGUAAGAGUUGCGGCACCUUUUUGGGUUUUGGGAUAGUAUGAUUUUGCGUGUGCGAUUUGACUGGGAACCUUUUUCUGAUAUUUUGCGCGUUUUUUCCUUUUUCUUUUGGACAGAAAGGGAAUGGUAUUUAUUUAUGGGUUUUGGGGAAUCGGAUAUUAUUUUAUAUGGGACCCCAAUACGGGUCGGGUCGGGUCGGGUCAUGGCUAUGGCAAAAUGAUCAAUGAUGACGAUUGUCUGAUGGACGUAGAAGGUUGGGGGAAAGGUCCGUUAAUUAGUCCGGCUAUUGGAGGGGUCGUAGGGUCAUAUCAAUUUCUGUUCCAGCCUCCAAAUGGGGUGCUACUGCUACCCACGUAUCUUUGACUUGUCUGGAGCCUGGACAGGUCAAACGGGGUGCUCCAAAUUUAGGUGGUGUUCGGUAAAAAAAUGGAGGGUUAGGAGCUAGUGUCAAAGUUCGUGAUUCAUUUCAGUCAUAUAUAGAACGAAACACAUUUCAGUUUCAAAUGUUAUGGUAGCUGACACACACAAAAAAAAAAAAAAAAAAAAAAGAAGCACAUUUCAGUUUCAAACUAUAACAUGUAAGAAGAAAUCGCUCCAAUCCAUGCCUACACGGGAUUUAAAAAUCGAUGAGAAGGUAGGGCGAUUAGAAUAAAAAACAUCAAGAUUUUAAUUUUAAUCACUAGAUCAAAAUCUCCUCAAAUUACGGUCGACUACUCAUAUAUUUUUCAUUACAUGCUAGGAGGAGAAGGAAAAGGUUGGAAUCCAGCAGACAAACAUGCAAUUUGUUUGUUUGAUUGUUACUCUUUGUUUUUCUUUUUUGUCUUAAAAAGAAUAAUAAUAUAUCAAUAGCAGAAGAUAAAACUAAAAGUUGCAAAAUUUGGACAGUGUAACACACAAACAUUACAAGGGAUGCUUCUACACUUAAGCUAUUUGAGAUAAAUCUAACAAAUUGUUGUUUUAUUUUAUUAUUACUCAAAGGAAAUUAGCUGCUUUUCACCCCCACAAAUGCGUAAAAAAGAAAAUUUUUGCAUUAGAAGAUUCAAAGGAUCAUAGAGCACAAGGAAACAUUUCCGUGAUAUUAGGACUUUAACGCAAUUAUCGUUUGUUUGGAUAGGAGUUUAUUUGGAUGAUUUAUUUGAGAUAAUUACUGUAGCACUUUUUGUGAUGUGAUGUAUGUGAGAUAAAAAGGUGAUUGGAAUCUGUGAAGCAAAUUAUUUUAUUUCAAUCCAAACACACAUGUUUUUUUAAGAUCAAAUUACAUUAAAGAAAAAUUUUGGGUCAAAAAUAACUAACUGGUGUAGGGUACCUAACAAUACAACACUUCGUAAGACCGAGCCCAACCCGUUUUCUUGGCUGAUUUUAAGCCGUCAAAGCCCAUACUCAAAACUCGCCCAAUUUAGGACCAAUCUCUCAAGUCUCAAUAGUGGAAUACAACCAGGUCCUCAUUCCAAAGUUACCAGAGUCAUCGUUCAUCAAUGGAUUCUUUCUUCUAGUCUUUCCCAAUUUCUCCCCUUCUUCCAUCCGCCUUUGAUCAUCUAAUUCCCCUUACCUUUUCACCCUCCGAUCACCAGAAAAAGAGCAAAAGGUACAACUAAAACCUAAGCCAUCUAUUUCACCGGGAAUUACACCAAUUUUGCACUAGUUUGUUUGUUUUUUUUUUAAAAAUAAAUUAUUGCCAUUUAGUCACUGCAUCUGUUAUUUCUAGGGUUUGAUCAAUCAGUGCUGGACGGUUUUUGAUCAAUCUGUUAAAGUAGUGGAAGCUAAAGAUGUGGGCAGCUACAUGCCUAGCGUCAUGCUGCGCCGGGUGCGCCUGCGACGCCUGCCGGACGGUGGUGUCCGGAAUCAGCCGUAAAUCGGCUCGGAUUGCCUACUGUGGCCUCUUUGCGUUAUCGUUAAUCGUUUCUUGGAUUCUUAGAGAAGUUGCUGCACCUCUCAUGGAAAAAAUCCCCUGUAAGCAGCCACUGGAUUAUCUGUCUUUUACUAGCAAAAUUUCUCUUUUUUUUUUGUUGCAUGAUUUUUGGGUGAAUACGCAUUAUCUUAGUGUUGGACUAGUUGCAGGAGGAAAGAAUUCUGAUUUAUAAUUGUGUACUUUAGGGCAAAUUUGGUCUUAAGUUGGAGACGUAGCUGAAUUUUUGUAUAGUUAACGUGGUUCAUUUAUUCUAGAUACCAGUUCAAUAUCCAGGCAGUGCUUUUUUAAGUGCUACUAGUUAAGAUUAUUAAGGUGGUUAUCAAGUAUGAAAUGAAAAACAUAUGAAAAGGGCUUUGCGAGCUGAAGAGUUAAAAAGAAUGAUCUUUUUGAUAGGGAAAAGAAGUGAUCGAAUGAGAGACUAGGUGGACAAUGAAAUACUACCUUGUGGUUCAGGGCCUUGUUUUGCCAUCUUAAAACAUGAAUUUCAUAUUGCCUGCUUCUCUCUCCUUCUUUGUUCAUCCCUUCUGAAGGGGAAUCUAUUUUAAAAAAUGUCUUCUGUUAAGUUUGAGUUUCUAACUGUUGCUUCAGUGGCCUGUACUGCACAGUUACGUGUCUCUGCAGCCUGGUUAGCCAACUAAAGGAAAAUGUAUCUUCGUUUUGAUUUUCUUUUGAUGUAUUUUGCUUUUCUGGGAAAUUGGAGAAGGAUAUAUAUAUUCUGUAGCUCAAACUUUUACUUUGUUGAGCAAUUUUAAACUCGCAUUGACUUUGGUUCAUAAAAACAAGUGAAUUCUGCCCUUGAUCAAUUUUACUUGGCUUCUCAUCUGCUAUGCUGCCUACAUAUAUUCAUAGACCUCUAGGAACCAGGUAAUAAAUUGAGAGAGAGGCAAAUAAGGGGGGAAAAAUUUAAAUUGUCAAUAGGCAUCAUUGUUUUAUUCCUAAAUCAGUUAUAAUGAAGAUGACAGCUAUUUGGUUUUCUCCCCAGGGAUUAAUCAUUUCCAUCAAACACCGGAUAGAGAGUGGUUUGAAACAGAUGCUGUGUUGCGAGUUAGUUUGGGAAACUUCUUAUUUUUCACGAUUCUAGCUGUCUUCAUGAUGGGCAUAAAAAACCAGAAGGAUCCUCGGGAUAGUGUGCACCAUGGCGGAUGGAUGAUAAAGAUCAUUUGUUGGUGUCUUCUUGUGAUUUUGAUGUUUUUUGUUCCAAAUGAAAUCAUUAGCUUCUAUGGUAAGCCAUAUCUUUUUGAGGUUUUCCCAUGGUUAUGGAUUGUCCUUGUCCUUAAAGUUUCUUUAUAUGUGGUGUUAAUUGAUUUGGGGCAAAUGCUUCACGUAAUGGAUUAUCCAUUGUUGGAAAAAUGGUAAAUUUGUAUUACAAUCUUUGGAUAAUGGCCAACUAAUCCUCAUCUCUCUUUCCUUUUGCAAUUUUUUCUUUUUUCUUCAUGACCUGGAGUAUGCUUAGUAUUUCAUCUGUUAAACGCAGAGACAACAUCAAAGUUUGGUGCGGGAUUCUUUCUUCUUGUUCAAGUUGUGCUUUUGUUGGACUUUGUUCAUGGAUGGAAUGACAAAUGGGUCGGCUAUGAUGAGAAGUUUUGGUUAGCUUACUUUGUUUUAUAUUAGCAGUUCUCACUUACUUCUAGACCACCAUUUUGUUCAAGAUUCUAUUACUUUUACCACACUUUGAUUUAGAUUGGCUCUUCUAACUAUUUUUAAUGUUGUUCUUUUUCUGUUUCUUUCAUUCAUGUAUUGCAGGUAUAUGGCUUUGCUCGUCAUCUCUCUUGUGUGCUAUGUGGCAACUUUUGCCUUCUCUGGGCUUCUCUUCUAUCUUUUUACUGCUUCUGGACAUGACUGUGGGCUCAACACUUUCUUUAUUGUGAUGACUCUGAUCUCUGUGUUUGCAUUUGCUGUGGUGACACUACAUCCAUCAGUAAGUUUCUUAGAUUUCAUUCUCUGACCAGAAGUAUUAAAUAUCCUUUUCCUUGGUCUUUUUUAUUUGGGGUAUAUUAUGUACUGAGCUUCCUUAAUUCUAAUGGAAUUAAGUGCAUAGAUGUUCAACAUGGGUAAGAUGUGAUAAUGCUGCAUUUAAGUAGUUCUUGAUGAUAUUGCUCACAACUGAAAUUGGCACAAAUAGGUUGGUGGGAGCAUCUUGCCUGCUUCAGUUAUUUCAUUGUACUGCAUGUAUCUCUGCUAUAGUGGACUUGCCAGCGAACCAAGGGAUUAUGAGUGCAAUGGCCUUCACAAGCAUUCAAAAGCUGUUUCCACUAGCACACUAACUAUUGGUCUACUCACCACUGUGCUCUCUGUUGUUUACUCUGCUGUUCGGGCUGGAUCUUCUACAACCUUGCUCUCCCCCUCCCCUCCAAGCUCACCCCGGGCAGGUGAGGAUCUUAUUUCAUUGUGUCGAGCAAAGAUGCCUAGGAUCUGUUUCAAUAAUAUGGACUAGAAAUACAUCAAUUUCAUUGAUGUUUGUUGCCAGUAACUUGGUGUUGGAAUGGCUUCAAGAUUAUUUGAGUUGAAGUAAACUAAAACAAGACAUUUUCAUGAUCUUUGUUACCCUUUUUCUCGAUCAUACAAAGUGAACUGUAACAGGAAUGUUUGAUAUUUUUGUUCUUGGUUUUUGUAUUGUAUGGUCUCCUUUCCUUUCUGAAUAUGCAAAGCUUAGAAGGAAUGUAACUAUUAAGUUGUUGGAUGUCAGUUCAAGAUACUGGUUUUCUCCUUCAGUUUUCUCCGUGUUUAAAAUGGAGUUGUAGUGUUGAUUACAAUUUGUGAAGCUCAAUAGGUGUACCCUAUUUGUCUCUGGUUUGCUAUUUGUUGGACUGGUCAAUUGUUUCCUCUGACCGACCUACUAAAAUGUUUUUCCACUACCUGCUACUUAACUUCUGGCGUUUAGUUAUAUGUGGUUUUGUGGUGUUACCGAAAAGAACUCCUUAGUCCUAGUCACUUCUUUGCAGCAAAAUUUAGUGAGAUAUUUCGUGAACAGUGUCUGACUAUUGGAUUUUUACCAAUGAAGGGAAACCAUUAUUACCAUUAGACAAGGCAGACAAAGAGGAGGAGAAAGAAAAGGCCAAGCCAGUUACAUAUUCGUAUUCCUUCUUCCACUUGAUCUUUUCACUUGCUAGCAUGUACUCUGCAAUGCUCCUUACAGGAUGGUCAACUUCAGUGGGAGAGAGCGGGAAGUUGGUUGAUGUGGGGUGGCCAUCUGUUUGGGUCCGAAUUGUAACAGGUUGGGCAACCGCUGCGUUGUUCCUGUGGUCACUGGUUGCACCUAUUUUAUUCCCAGAACGCGAGUUCUGAUUUAUUGUUCGGAUACUUGGUGGCUGUCUGUGUAAAUGUUUGCAAUGACUGUUGUGGGAAGUCAAACAUGUAAUCACCUCGUUUAGUAGAAAGCAGAAUGUCGUACGGUUGUGCUGCAUUAAUGUGUUGAAAGCUGUGGAUGGAUGGCUUUAAAUCUCGCAGUGGAAAAAUUGUUUAAGCUUGUGUUCAUUACUUGUUGAGAGUUGAAUUUUGAUUUUGAUCUGGAUGUGCUGUAGCGAUUCAUUAAUUUUCUGCCUUAUUUUUCUGUCAUAGCCGGCAUAAAGGUCAGCCUUGCUAUGUUCACCGGUUAUCGCUACUACACUUGUGCUCGUUUUUAACAGAAAGCUGUUCAAUAUAAACAAAAAAUAUGUGGUUUUCGCUUUUACUGUUUUGAGAAAAAUGAAAGCAUGAUAUUUGUCUUUUAGGCUGUUGGAAAGUAACACUUUGCUAAAACACCACCAAGAUGGCAAGAUUACUUAUCUAAGUUCCUUCUCUUCUUAAAAAAAAAAAGAAAAAGAAAAAGUUCCGACUCACGAAUACAUAAAUAAAAAAUGGAAAGAAAACCUCAAAAUGAUUUUCAAAUUGAAGUGAAUUAGAGUCAUUGAAAAUAAUAACUAAACAAGUGAAGGCCCAGUAUUCUUUCUUACAUGGGUUUCAAAGACGUAUUCUGCAGCUAAACGCCACAGAAGCUGAAGGAAAUAAUAGGAAGUCAGAAGAAGAAUUGGGUUGUCCUACACUCAUCUGAACUAGGAGACUUGGUUCAAUGGCGCCGCGGCUUUUCCUGUGACUGAAUGAACUCUCAGCAAUUCACUGUGUUGAAGGCUUAUUUAAAUAACCAAUGCCAUUAAACCCAUAAAAUAUUCAAAUGCGUGUCAUUAAUUUUCAAAUUGACUGGGAUGUUGGGAUUGAGCUCUGAGCGGGUAAUAAAAACAUUUCUUUGAUUAAGUACACAUUUCCAAGGUUCAGUCUUUACUACUACUACUUCUGCCAUGUUUCAUUUCUGAGGUUUACUUGGUUUGUUUGUCCCAGUCAUAGCGUAUUCUCCUAUAAGAGGCACUGCUAUUCGGCAUUGUUAACAUAUGUAUAUGCAGUGCGAACCUUUUGAGAUUAGAAAAACUUCUUUUUCUUCCAUUUUUUUGCAUUGCUAUCUUCUCCCCCUGUAAUCAAGAAGCCUCUCAUGGCAUCUAUGCUGGCUCUUAUUGGGCUGUUUCUGCUUACUCUCAGAAUAUCACGUGCAGGGGCACAGUCAAUAGGCGUCUGCUAUGGAUUAAAUGGCAACGAUCUACCUUCUACGCAGGAUGUUAUAAAUCUUUACAAUGAAAAGGGCAUUGCAAAAAUGAGAAUAUACGCCCCAUUUCCACAAGUCCUCAACGCUCUAAGAGGAAACAACAUAGAACUUAUUGUCGAUGUAGCCAACGAAGACAUUGAGCCCCUUGCAUCAGAUGCUUCAGCAGCCGCUCGCUGGGUUCAAGACAAUGUCUUGCGCUACGUACUAGAUGUUCAAUUCAAAUACAUAGCUGUCGGAAAUGAAGUGUUGCCUAAUUUUGACAAUGCUAAGUACAUUUUUCCUGCCAUGGAAAACUUGCAAAACGCAAUCAUAGCAGCGGGUCUUCAGGACCAGAUCAAGGUCUCAACGGCAACAUACACAGCUCUCUUAGCUGUUUCCUCUCCUCCUUCACAAGGUUCCUUCGGGAAUGAUUCGAAGCUAUUUAUGAAACCUAUAAUUAAUUUCCUGGUACAAAAUAAUGCGCCAUUACUAGUCAAUAUAUAUCCGUACUUCGGCUACAUUGGUGAUCAAGCCAAUGUUGGGCUUGAAUAUGCACUAUUCACCUCGCCUGGAAUUGUUGUUCAAGAUGGUUUGUUGGGAUAUCAGAACCUUUUUGAUGCUAUGUUGGAUGCUCAUUACUCUGCUCUGGAGAGAGAAAGUGGUAGUAACGUUGAGAUCGUUGUAUCGGAGACUGGCUGGCCAUCUAGCGGAAAUCCUCCUGCUGCUUCAUUAAAAAAUGCUGGAAUUUACUACAACAAUGUAGUCAAUCAUGUGAAGGGAGGAGUGGGGACUCCAAAGAGGCCUGGAAGGGUUAUAGAAACGUAUUUGUUUGCCAUGUUUGAUGAAAAUGAGAAGCCAGGAGCUCAGACGGAAAGGCAUUUUGGCCUCUUCAGUCCUAACCAACAGCCCAAGUAUUCAAUUAAUUUCAAUUAAUCAGAGUACAAUAUAACUAGCAAUGUCAAUAACAGCUCGUAACAGCUCCUCAGAAGUCUUGCUACUCAUGUGGUCUGUUAAUUUGUUGUUUGGCUUUAUUUCUUCAGCCUUCUCUUCCUUUUCUUUAAUUCUUUCAGAGCCAAUACCAUUUCUUCUUCUUUUCCCUCCCUAUAAAAAGGGCUGCUACGGUGUGCCCACACAAAUUAGGAUUAUAAAUCCUUCGACUUUUGAGUUUGUCUUUAAUUUUCCUUUUUUUUUUCCCCAAACUUCAGAUCAUUAGACUCUACUCAAUAAUGAUCGCCAAAGCUCUAAAGCCAUCUACGCUUUCACUUCUUGGACUGAUCCUGCUUCCUUUCACUAUAUCAGCAGGUCAAUAUCCAUCUCUUUCAAUAUAUAUAUAGCUAUGUAUAUGUAUUUGGUCCGAGCAUGAUUGCAUGAAUUUAUGUCUGCGAGAAAGCCUACUAGUUAUCAUUUUUUGGUUUCUUGUUUUCUGGUAGAAAAUGAUAGAAAUAUUCAAAACUUUGUACAUGAAAUUAUUCAUUUGGUGAUAUGAUGAAUGAGUUCACAUUUAUAUGGCUAGUGAUGCUCAAAUUAAUGAUAGCAACUGCAUUUGACACCAACAUACGUCUAUACAUGAUCUUUCUUAUGCAGGAGCACUGCCAAUAGGUGUCUGCUAUGGGCUGAAUGGUAACAAUUUACCUUCAAAACAGGAUGCUAUAAAUCUAUACAAGGAAAAAGGCAUCACAAAAAUGAGAAUUUAUUCCCCAGUACCAGAAGUUCUAAAUGCUCUAAGAGGGAGCAACAUAGAACUCCUCGUCGAUGUAUCAUUCGAAGAUGUUAAACCACUUGCAACAGAUGCUUCAGUAGCUCCUAUCUGGAUUCACAACAAUGUACAAACCUAUUGGCCUGAUGUCAAGUUCAGAUACAUAGCUGUAGGUAAUGAAGUGACCCCUGAAUCUGAAUAUGCUCCAUUCAUCGGUCCUGCCAUCGAAAACUUGCACAAUGCAAUUGUAGCAGCAGGUCUACAGGAACAAAUCAAGGUCUCAACUUCAACAUAUCCUCCUCUUUUAGGUGCAUCCAACCCUCCAUCACAAGGUUCAUUCAGCGAUGUUGCCAAACCAUUCAUCAAACCUAUUAUUGAUCUCCUAGUCGGACACAAUGCACCAUUGCUUGUCAAUAUAUACCCUUACUUUACCUAUCUUGGUAAUCAAGGCAACGGAGAGCUUGAUUAUGCAUUAUUCAGGUCACCUGGAGUUGUUGUUCAAGACGGUUCAUUGGGGUAUGAAAACCUUUAUGAUGCAAUGUUGGAUGCUUUUUACUGGGCUCUGGAGAAAGAAGGUGGAAAUACUGUCGAGAUUGUUGUGUCAGAGACUGGCUGGCCAUCUGAGGGAAGUUCUGCUUCUUCAGUGGAAAAUGCUGGAACUUACUACAAAAAUUUGAUUAAUCACGUGAAGGCAGGAUCAGGGACUCCGAAGAGGCCUGGAAAGGCCAUAGAGACCUAUUUGUUUGCCAUGUUUGAUGAAAAUGAGAAAACAGGACAUGAGACUGAGAAACAUUUUGGCCUUUUCACUCCAAACAAGCAGCCCAAAUAUGCAGUUAGCUUCAACUAAUUGGUUAUUGAUCUAUAUCUGAUCUUAACUAAAUGUGCGAUGUUUGACCUAUAUUUUGGUUUGUAUCUUUCGAUGACAAGAGGGGAAAGAUUAUAAUAACGAAGUUAAACCAAGCUCUUCUCAUUUUCUAAAUUUUAUAGAAGUUCUUUUGGAUUCAAAUUUUAUAGAAUUUUAUACCGUCUUGCUCUUAAUACCUCUUGUUCGUCGAGAAUUUGAAUAGGGGUUUGAAUAAGAAUCGACUAUAGAUUUUAGUGAACUCAAUAAAGAAUCUUUAAAGAUUAUUCAUGAAUCUUUAAUUCCUGUGAUGUUUUCGUUCUAGUUUGUAUUAACUAUAUUAUUGUUAUGGAAUGUAUUCUUCAUGUCUUAUACUCUCUAUAUAUAUUUUUUUUAAAGAUUAAUCUUUCCUACACUGAUAAUGUAUACAGUAUCAGCGUUGAAUAAAUGACAACUAUACAAAAUUUAAAUUUAAAAUUCAAUUUUUGCACAUAUAUCAUGGAUCCAACGAUGAUAGCGUUACACUGUGAGUGUAUAUAAGAUUUACUCUUCUUGUUAAUCGUAUAAUUUCUCAAUUCAUAGGCGAGCUUGAAAGUCUUGAAAUUUACAUGUAAUAUUAACUUUACAUUUUUCUCUUUGAAGUUCCUAGCUACAAAUAGGAAGCCGCGAAAGUUUAUGAGAACAAUUUCAUAUUGUACUCUUUAACUAUGCAAGUAAAAAUUGUAUUCAAGUGUUAAACUGAAGUCUUGCAUUAACACUCACAAAGGCACACCUUAAGAUGAUAAAUCCUUAAUUACCACAAAAACAUUUUAAUUAAACAUAAUGUCUUGUGCUUGUGCUCGUGGAAUUAGUGAUGCUUAAGCAAAAAUUUCGAACUUUUGUGGUGCAAUUCAUCAGCAAAUUUCUUAUUUUCAGGAGGAGAGGGUGGGAGGGAAGAAGCAAGAAAUGGAGGGGAAAUGAGACGGCAAAGAUCAAAAUCUCGCAAGACUAUAAAAAUCUCAAGCUUUUCAUAAAUGUGUGUAUAUAUAUAUAUAUUUGGUAUGUAUGAUGAACCUUUAUCCCUGGUUUGCACUAUUAUUGAGCUAUUAUUGCAAAGAAACUGGAAACUCGAGCACAAGAAAUCCUUUUUCGUACAAACAUCAAUUGAAUAUCCAUGUGCUCAACCCACAACUUCAGUUGUGUAGCCCAUAAAUGUCCCACCGAUGAUUUCUUGAGGUCUAACGUGGCUUUCUCUUCCAAUAAUCAAAUGAAAGGCACUGACUAUAUGUGGAUGGAUGGACCUAGAAUUCCACCUUUUACAAACAAGUCAUGUUCUACCAUGGAUCUAUCUUUGCCUGAUAAUAAUAAUUAUUGUACCACCUUACCAAAACAGAGGAAUACACGAAUUGCUGCGACGACAAAUGCAAAAUGGACAUGCACAACCUUUUCGUGGAUACCCACAGCCAACUGCCCAGCAAACGAUACAGAUAACAGUCCACAACCCUUGUUUGCAAAGAAAAAAAUGAACUCACAAAUCCAGGCAAACAUGACAAGAUAUGAAGGGGCAAGUUGGAAGAUUAGAUCAACCAUAUUUGAAGUUCUGAAAUCGCUAGACACUAGGAAUUAGGUACUAGAUAUCCACUCUUUUUUAGAAUGCAAAAUGAGCAUUUAUAGCGGAUAAGAGUGGCUCGGAAAAGGGAAAUGACCCAACCUGCCCGGUCAAUUACAAGCAUACAAAGUAGAGGAGAGACUGCAGAACAUCUUGUUCAGCUAGUUUCAUGCUCUAAGAUUGCUGUCCCGUAUGGGCGUGGGAAAUGAGACCCUUUUAUCUGAAUUAAAAUCUUAAAAAGUCAUUAUUGAUUUGCAUGCCUCGUAACCAAUAUUCAGCCAGGAAAUGAUUGCAGGCGAUUGCGAUAAUUAUCAAAGAAAUGGAAACCUUGCUUAGUGUUGAGCUUUCUGAACUCCAAUCUAACGUUCUAUACCAGUUUCCAGAAAAACCACGAGCGAGGUUAAUUGCAGUAGUCGAGGGAUGGGACUCGAGAAAAGGAAGAGGGGGGGGGGGGGGGGGGGAGAGAGACGAGGGGAGGGAGGGAGGGGGGGGAUUUAAGGGAAAAUGAUACAGAACCAUACAACCGCCUUAACAAUGUCUCUAUAAUUAGGAGCCAUCAGAAUGUAAAACACAGAAGUUUGACAAACUCCAGGAAACACGAUCUUCAAAAGUUCCGGACUAUAACUAUACGUAAUAAAGAAUCUUCAAAUAGAAUGUUUCCGCGUUCAAUCUUCAUAAUCUCCAGCAUUCUCAAGUAGAUAAUUGAUUGCCAGUUCCUCGUUGCGGUCACAUGCUAGGAAGGCCUCAAUGACAAGG